rnacentral:lncRNA from 1 species
ACAAUGGACGUAAACAGGCUGAUUUCGAGCUCUCUUUCGACAUGCCCACUUCACAGCUGAUUCUAUCUGGCGUGGCUGAGGUGCCCUUGUGUCCCAAGUAGGAACACAUAAAUAUGAAUGACCCUUGAACUCCUUUAUUCUUGGGAAUUCAGAUGUGCAAUCAAUAAUGGCAGGGUUACCAGGCGGCAAUAAACGAGGUGAAGCAGGCCAACCACCAACAUAUAAACCCUCACAUAUUUGAGAGUAAGGUUCGUCACCAGUAAGGAACCUUCUCGCCAUUGAAAAAGCUCUAUUAAAAUACAGAUAUGGGGAGAACAUGAUAGUGGACAAAAUUGGGAAAGUCCCAUCUGGGUUUUUGCCCAAAAGCAUGGGAAGAUCGAUUGAAGGGUGAGAAGCAAUUGAAACAAGCCAUGAAAUCAAUGAUGCAUACAACAAUGGUAUUGCCAACACUGUGAACCCAAAUCUACUGAAGAAGAGAUAUAAUAACAUCCAUGCCGUUGCCUUCAUAGCUAUUAAGACUGAUAAGCCUAAACCCAUCUCUGAUUCACAAUCAGAAAUCAAAAACGAGAAAUUCCCAAAUCAGAAAUCGGAAAUCGGAAAUAAUUUGAUAAUUUCACAAAUUUCUUUAUCUUUAGGCUACGAAACUGAAUAUUCCUUUAAUGCUAUUGUGACUGAUAAGUCCAACGCGAAUGCAGGAAGCUUCCCUUGCCCUUUGCCGCUUUAAAAAGGAGUUUUUCUAGAUGCCAAUUGGCUUAAUUUAUAAGAGGAAAAAGUUACGCGUAAACUAUAAAAAAUAGUUACUUUUAUUUGAGUCGGAUUACAUUUUAAUUAAUUAUUUUUAAAAUAUUAUAUUUUAAUUGUUUACAUUAUCAUUUUAUUACGAAAUUGUUACUUUACCGUUAAAUUUCAUUACCUCCCUAACUACAGUCCUACAUGACCGUCCAAGUGGGUUUUAAAUGCCAACUUAGAUAUCUAGUUGCUGGGAUAAAAAUAAGUUUUUAAUUAAAUAAAUUUAAUUUGGACUGUCAUGUAGAACAUCCAAGUUGACAUUUAAAAUCCAUUUGGACUGUCACGUAGGACCGCCGUUAAAGAGGUAAUAAAAUUUAACAAUAGAGUAAUCACUUCGUAAUAAAACAAUAAUGUAAGUGAUUAAUACGUAAUAUUUAAAACAUAAGUGACUAAAAUGUAAUAUAAGACAAACAAAAGUGACUAUUUUUGUAGUUUACCCUAUUUAUUAUUAAUAUAUUUAAUAUAGUGAUGAAAUUUCAAUGAAAUUAAAAUUAAAAUAGUAUAAUAAAUUAUGGGGUGUUUGGUAAACAUAAUUUUCGAUUUUUUUAGUUGAUUUGGGCAUAAAUGGAGAAUUGGUUAGUCAAAUCCUCUCAUUGUAAUAUUUGGUGAAUAAAUAUUUUUAAUAGCUUAUUAAGUUAAAACCUCCAAAAUAAAAAACGUUAGAAUGGAUAAUUUUUUUUACAACGGAUUGGAAAUGAGAUAUAUGGAAGGACAUAUUUGAUCAUGUUUGCUAAAAAAUUACUCUGUUUGCCACUAUGUACAAUUAUAUUGAUACACUAAUAAUAUUUAUCAAUUUCCAUAAUGCUAAUAUUUACAAAGAAAGAACUUAAGAAAUUUGUUUAUUUAAAAUUUUAAAAAUAUUCACUAAUUAAUUUCGAUAAUGGAUGUUUUAAUUCAUUGGUAAUAGUGUUUUAUUUCAAUAAUUUCACCUAAUAAAAAUUAAAGUAUUAUAAAAUAAAUAAAUACUUAAUAAUAAAAUGUAUAAUGUCUUUAUUUAUCAUUUUACACAUAUAAGCUUUCAGCUAUCAGAUAAGUUUUACCAAACAAUUUUUAAAUAUUAGACUCAUUUGGUCAAAUCAGUUAAUAAAAUCAGUUGAUCAAGCUAGUCACCACAAUUAACAAUCAACUAUCAACCAAUUACCAAACAAGACCUAAGAUGUGGAAUAUUUAAAAUGCGAUAAAAAUAUAUAAAAUAAUUAAAACAUGUGGUUGUCGUAAAAAAUAAUAUAUAAACAUUAUGUGUACGGAAAAUAAUAAUAGUAAUAAUAAUAAUGUGAACACCAUAUAAAUGAUUUUUUUAUAUAAAUUGAAUCAACAUAAAAAAUAUAUUAAAUUUGAAAUUUUGAAGUCAAUAAAAUUAAAAUUAAAAUACUAUAAUAAAUUAUUUAAAAUAUGAAAUAAUUUAAGAUGUAAUAAAAAUAUAUAAAAUAACUAAAACAUGUGGGUGUCAUAAAAAAAUAUAUUAUAUAUAAUUCAAAAUUUACAAAAAAUAAAUUAUUGCCGUCAACAGUGUGUACGGAAAAUAAAUCAUUGAUAUCAAUGAUGUGUACGAAUAAUAAUAAUAAUAAUAAUAAUAAUAUGAAUGAUUUUUUUAUAUAAAUCGAAUCAACAUAACAAAUUAUGAAAUAUAUGAGAUAAUUUAAGACAAACAGAAAAAUUACUUUUUGAAAUAAUUGAAUUGUUGUGAAAAUUAUAUAAAAUAUAAUACAAUAUGAAUAUAACAUAAAAAUCAUUUAAACACAAACACAAAUAUUAUACAUGUGAAUAUUGGUAGAGCCUGAAAUUUUUUUGGGAGUCAGAAAUUAAAUUGUAUAUCUUUAUGAUAGUAAAAAUACAAUUGAAUUAUUUUAAUAGUUUAUAUAUUUAUAAUUUUCAAAGGGUUAAAUCAAUUUUUUAUUAUUUUUGAGAGUAGAGUACAAUUUUACCAUUAUUAAUUUAAAAUUUUAUAAAUUAUAAAGAACUUAAAUUAAAAUUUUACAAUUUUAGGGGCCAAUGCCCUAUAUGGAAAAUAUGGAGAAAAACAUCAGCGCAAAUUAAAUGUAGAAUGAAAAGAAACAUGAUAUAAAAUUAAAAAUUGAAUUGAAUAACUAAAACAAAUAAUAUCACAAAAAAAAAUAACAUAAACAUAUAUAAUAUAAAUAUAUAAAUAUAUCAAAUUUUACAUAAAAUUAAUUAAAAUAUGCUACAAGUCUUUGUACUUUUUAAAAAUUAAGAAUUUAAUCCUUAUAUUUUUAUUUCAUGGAAGUUAGUCUCUCCACUCUUUAUAUUUUAAAAUUCAGGUGCAAUUGUUAACUUUUUUUGGUUAAAAUAUGUAUAAAUAUUACGAUCAACCAAAAUAUGUGCAAUACCCUUUUAUGUCACAUGAAACAGGGGCGAAGCCAAAAAAUCGUUUUAGGGGCCGAAAUUAAAUUUUAAUUUUUACGAUAGUAAAAAUGCAAUAUCACUAUUUUAAUAGUUUAUAUGUUUAUAAAUUCUAAAGAAUUAAAUCAAAUUUUUAUCAUUUUUAGAGAGAACCAAAGUAUAAUUUUUAUCUUUUAUUAAUUUAAAAUUUUUAAAGAACCUAAAUAAAAAAUUCUCAUCUUACCAGUCCCCUAAUUAAGCCAGAAGCUAUUAACCACAUCUUGAUACCAAUGAAAGUAUUAAAAGAAAACAUUGUUGGAUUACUUUGAAUCAAUUGAGUACAUCAAAUGAGCUAUCUAACUAAUAAACAAAUUUAAUCCAUAUUAAUGGACACAUUAUUUAUCUAUAAAAGCAAUACAUCUUAAAUCGAAACAAUUUAUUAAAUCAAAGAGUAAAUUAUCGGAUAACCAAUAGCAAACACCACAUUAUUACUAGUUGAAUGUUGCCGUCAUUGUUGGUGUAUUGCUGGUUGGGUCAAUCAUAAGAUCAGCUGAGUAUCCAUAUUUAAUAUUUAUAGCUUUAUACUUAGACACGUUUUGGUCCAAUGAGUCUUUUAUCGAAUGCCAAUCAAUUUCUCCUUCACUUACUUCAUUAAUCUCACUAUACACCUGCAAUUUAUAUUCAAAACAUAAAUAAUUAUUUGAAUUUUUAAAAUGUUAAAUAUUAAAAAAUUAUAUUAAUUUUAUAUUAUUUAUAAUUGAAUUUAACUGAAAAUUUUUUAUAUUUACUUCAUGAAUGUGGUGAAGUUUAUAUAUAUAUAUAAUUCAGGUUGACUUUUGCCUAAUUAUUAUGCAACAAUAAUUUUUUAAAAUUGUUAUAAUAAAUCAAGAUUUGAUUAAAGAAUUUUAAUUGAACUUAAUAAAAUAUAUUUAUUUAAAUUUAAUUAAAAUAUAUAUUAAUAUAAAAUAAAUUUUAAAAUUUAAAUUGUAUUUUAUUUAUUUAAAAAAUAAAUAAAUUAACUCAAGUAUAUUAUAUUAAAAAAUAAAUUAAUUUUUUUAUUAAAAAUUUUAUAUAUUUUUACGAUUAAAAACUGGUCUAUAUAUGUAAUAUAAUAUGCACGUAACAUGUCAUGCGCCAUUAUUUAAUUAUUUCAUUAGUCACAUUAAUUUUUAAUUAUUUAAUUAUUCCAUUGGCCACAUUAAUUUUUAACGGUACAAAUAAAAAAAAUGGAUUGAAAAUGAAUGAAUAUGAUACCUUGUUAAGCUUGGGCUGAUCUUCGCUGUUGCUCCAGGCAAUAAUCCACCUAACCUUAUCUCCGACAAGAUACGAAACAGCUCCGACUGAACCUACUGAGUCUCCCGAGUGCCUAAACUCACUUGCCGACUGAUUUUGAGCUAUAGUUUCCGGUGGAUCUCCAUAUCCAUGCCAAUAAAUUUGGUCUUCCAGCUUUAAAUCCUGACCGUAAAGGUUCCGAAACUGGCACUGCGUAAAAAACUGAACCCCCAUUAAAUUUGACGACGACGGUGACGACAAAACUUCAGGAUUGGCAGCCAUGAUUCUCGUGUCUGAGCUUCUGCUGGGAACCGAAUUUCUACGUAGUAAUGGGGACUGUGUCUGUGUGGGUGUAAAAAGAAUCGAAGCUGCACGUCCGUAUUUCACUGCUGGAUUGGCAGCUGUCGUAGCUUUGUGGCUUUGGGCCGCUGUAUUUCUAUGAACACCCCUGGAAAAUGGUGCUGCUACUGCUGGAUUGAUGGCAGCCAUGGUUAAGAGCUUAAUUUCUUUUUUUGUUUACUGAAGUUCUACAACCUUGAAAGAGUAUUUGGUUUUGAUUGCUUUGUGCUUCCAAAGUUGUGUAUAUAUACUACUUUGUAGCUUGAACCGGCCAUAACAUGACAUUGACGAGUAUGUACUCUUUUGAUUUUAUCUAUUUUUAUACUUAAUUAAGUUUAUUUUUAUAUAUAUUAUAAUUAAUGAUGCAAUGCUACAAAACUGUAUCACCACUUAAAAAUAAAAAAAUUUAAAGCAUAAUAUUAAUGGCUCCCAAUCACACCCAUGUUUAACAUAUUGACAAAAUUGGACCGUCACAGAAAGGUCCAUCCUUAUCUAUUCAUGUAAAAAGCAAUGUGAAGUGCAUGUUAAAAAUACAAACCGACCAUUAUUAUUAUUUUUUAUCACAGCCACCCAUGUAUAAUUCAUUUUGUUUUACAAUCAAUUAUUUAUUAUAUUUCCUACUUAAUCAAGCAGAUAACUCAAAUUUAAUUUUUAAUUUUUUUAAUUAAUAUUUAUUUUUUAAAACUUAGUAAAAAUUUUAAAAAAAAUUCCACAAGCCCUAAGGAUUUUGCAAUUUUUCAAAGGUGGAUAAGUAAAAAUUUAAAGGUUAUAACAUUCUCAAAAUUCUUGUACUAUUUAUAUAUUUAAAAUUUGUGAUAAUAGAAUGUUGAUAAUGGUAAUGUAACAUCUCGAAAUUUGGGGUUAGAAGUUUUAAGGUUUGUGAUUAGGGUUAGUGAGCAGGUUGAGCAAUUGGGUUUGCUUUCGUCCUUUAAUGUCAGAAUGAGCUUGUUAGUUCAAUGGUUGGAUGUGUGUUAAUUUACUUUUGGGUUCUGGCUUCAAAUCCUCAUGUGUGUUUUGAGGAAGUAAUUUUAUUUUUUAGGUUUGUUUUUAAGUUUUGAAAUAUUUAUUUAUUCUUAUUUUUAUUUUAUUUUUCUGAAAGAGGCUAAAAUCGUUCUCACGUACUCUUCUCCCUCUCUGGCAGUUUAUGUUCUUUUUGUUUUCCUCCUCCUUUCUCCUUUUCGUUUUUGGUUGUUCUUUUAAACCAUUGAACUUUUGUUUCUUCUUGCUUCUUCCGUUUUCGCAUAUUUUGUUAUUGCUCAUUGGUUAAGGGGUUGUUUGUCCUCGCAUUUCCAACUGAUUGGAUUUUGAAUAGGGUAAGUUUUAGAGUGGGUUAAUGGUUUUUCUUGAGUUAUAGGUUAACGUUUAGUUGAUUCUUCUAUAUCGGUUUGGAUUAGUUGUAAAUUAGCAUGUUGGUUUCUAGUUUUCAGAAUUGGUGGAAUUGCGACAUUUUCGGUCAAUCGUUGGUGUGUCAAGGAACGUUAAUUAGGUGUUUUUCUGAACCCUUAGUAACUAGGGAUUAUGUUGCAGAUGCUAAUUCACGGUUCUUGGUCUGUUUCGGUGUGGUUUCGUGGCCACACGGGCGUGAGCCGUACACAGGCAGUUCAUACAACCAUGUGAUAUUGGGAAUUAAGGUUUUUGGGUGAUUUUUGGUGCCACACGGCCGUGAGGCUACGAUUUGAGGAUUUUGUCAAAUUUCUCAUGGGCGUGUAUUUUGGACACACGAUCGUGCCCCUUAGCCACAUGGGCGUGUGAGACUUCUACAUGAUCGUGCCUGCUCUGUACCUUAUUUUGACAAUUUUGGACAGUGAGUUACACGGGCUGCUCGCACGGCCAUGUAACUCGAUCACACGAGCAUGUACCUCCUCCACACGGGAGUAUACAGCUUGUACACGGGUGUGUGGACCCUACACAGGUGUGUAGACCUCCACACGGCCUAGGCACUACCACAGGGCUGGGGCACACGACCGUGUGGCCCUGUUCCGUAGAUUUUUGUUCUGUGUCGUAUUUUGACUCGUUUUGUGUUUCUAUGUGUUCCAGCCAUCAGUUAGGCUUUGGUAAUGGUGUUUGGACUAUAUUUUAGCUAAGACUCGUGUAUUUAUUUGUAACUAUUGAAUUGAGUUAACAGUUUGAUUAAGUGUUAAAGUGAGGAUUUAUUGGAUUUGAAAUGUUACCUAGUAAUUGACUACGGGUAUAACUAAUUCUGAAUCUGAUUGAUCAAGUAUGAGCAUUUUUGUUUCUGUAUGAUUGGUUGCAUGUAGUGUGCAUUUUGCAUUUGCAUGAAAGCUUUAAAAGUGACCGACAGAAUAUGAGUGUUCGUAUCUGUGAGACUGUAGUGUCUAAUGAGCAUUCAUACACUUGCAUAAAAUUGGGGUUUUUGGUUGUGAAGAGAAGGGAGUCUGAUUCGACAGUCCAACUGCAAUAUUUUUGUACUGCGAUUUACCGCAUAAUUCUAUACGUAUGUCAGCUCUGUUGCAUAUCGUUACUUGAGUGGCUUAGUUCCACAAUAUGUGGUAUGUAAGGUGGUUGGGCCUAUCAUGGUCCUAUGUGGUGUGCAGGGUGGACGGGCUUGAUAUAGCUCAUACGUGGUGUAUAGGGUGGUUGAAGUGGUGUUUGAAUGGUUGGGGCAGGUUUUUAAUCUGUUGCAUUCAUGUCACAUUCAGUUAUAAGUUUAUCUGUUUGACAGUUGGGUUUACUGCGAAAUAAUGUGAAUAGUCUGACGUGUUAAUUACACCAUUAUAAUAUGUUUGUAUGUUUAUGGAAAUUAUCCGUAAGAUUGAGUACUGAUACUUGUUGCUCAUUUAUUGUCUGUGUGUACAUACCAAAUAUACGUUUGAUACUCUGUCGGUUGUUUUUGUUUAUGAAUUCAGACUCACGUUGAGCUCGUGUAGCUCACCCCUUAGUUGCCUCUCUUUCAGGUAAAUUUUGUGUUUGAAGUUGGACUCGACAGCUGGAGGUCUCAAAAAGGUUGAUUGAUUCGGUUUAGCUAAAAUUUUCAUAAGAUUUAUAUGGUUGGUUUUAAUAAUUAUUGUAAAGCGAUUAUAAACUAUGGUAUGGGUUAAGGUUUGAACUUUUCGUUAGACUACGCGAUUUUGGUUUUAAACAACAUUCGGUAGUUUCACGUGCGGGUUUUAGUGGGGUUUCUGACUAUUUCAAAGUUCGCUCACGUUUGAGAAAACAAUAUAUUUUUCGCACAAUUUUUAAUCUAAUAUUUCGCAAUACUUUUGGCAAAUUUGAUGCAUUUUGAAACUAUACAAUAAUUACCGUUUUAAAACGUAAAUUGUUAAACGACUUAGUUCAACUUUUACAAAUUGUGUUCGAAAUGAGAUUUAAACAAUUUUUUUUGUAAAUUGCUUUUAGAUCACUUCGGUGGUCAAUGUAACCUCUUGGAUUUGGCUCAAACUUCUAGGCUGGGUUUUGGGAUGUUACAGGCAAUGUAUCACAAAGAAAAAAAAAUAGAACAUGCAGAUUUUACGUGGAAAUCAUUUUAAGAAAAAAAUUUACGGGCAAAAGAGAAGAAAAUUUACUAUGAUGAAUUCAAAAAAUACAAUAGGAGAGAUGACUACAUCUAUUUAUAGGUUUGUAAAACCAUAUUCUAAUCCAAGCCAAACAGAAGUAAUGCAUUAAGGUUAAAACACAUUAUUUUGAUCAACAUCAAAUAGAGGUAGUAUACUUCUAUACAAAAUUCAGUUGUGCAGCCUGUACCAUGUCGAGGCCUUUGCCCUCGUAGAUCCCCCUAUCUUGCUACUUGUAUUUUAUUUUAACAAGAAUUUGAGUCACAUAUCUUUAAUAGAAUUUAAUCUUUAAAUUUUUAUUUUCAGGAACUUAAUCCCCUAUUUUUUUCAAAAAUUUAAAAUUUAGGUUCAUUUGUUAACACUGUUAAAAUCCUUAUGUUAAAUUUGCUAGUGUGACGUGUUGACACCAUUUUUUGGAUGAAAACGGGGUCAACUUGGGUUUUGAAAAAUGAAACGGGAGUCGCCACCAAUCCUUUUUAAUGAGGUGUGAUUGGAUCACCUCAAAAAGUGGUUGUUUUUAAUAAAUGAUUUAAUUUUAUUAAAACAACGAUUUUGGUCCACGAAAUUCAGAAAUCGGGUUCGGGAGUCGGUUACGUAUGAGGAAGGAUUAGCACCCUCGUAACGCCCAAAAAUUGGUACCUAGUUGAUUAGCUAAUGUCUUAAUGUCGAAAAUUGAAAACUUGAAAAAGAUUUUAAAAUACGAUCCUUGUAUUAAAAUGUUAAAAAUUUUCGGGAAAAAGGGGCACGUUCCACGUUAAUCGAGAAAGAAAGCAUCAUAUCCAGUAAGUUAGGACACAAUGUCUCGAAUUCCUGAUAUGCGAACGAAUGUCAAAAUUUACUUAUUUAAAAGAUGAUUAAUUAUCUCGGGUUUAGAAAAUGGAUCAUGCCCAGUAAGUUAGGACAAUUUCUGAAAUUGUUUAAAACUUGAGUUUGAAAAGAUUCGUGUAUUUAGAUUUAUUAUGAAAAUCGAAACCCAGUAAGUUAGGGUACGACCUUCUCGAAUCUAAAUACAAGAUUUUGCUUAUUCAAAAAUCAUGAUUUAUGCAUCGAAUAAAAUUAAUCUAACAAGAAAUAAAACACAAUGUCAAUAUGCGAACAAAACAAAAUUGAAUACGAUGAUGUAGCAUAAAUAAUAUGAGUAAUAGCAAUGAAAAUAAAUUAGAUAAAAGGAUAAAUCAAUAACAUACAAAAUAACAAUGCAUAUAAGGAAAUAAAAUUAAAACAUUCAUUCAAAAUAAUAAUGAAAAUAUAAAUAAAUAAUGAAUACAAUUAAAAAAUGUGAAGAGAUAUAUAUGUAUAUAGAUACAAAUUAAAAAAACAUGUAUGUGUGAAUUAUAAAAUAUAUAUAAAAUAUAAAAUAUAUAUUUUAAAACGUAAAGAAUAUAUAUAAGUAUGUAUAUGAAGAAAAUAUGUAUAUAUAUAUGUAGGUAUAUAAAAAUUAUAAAAUAUGAAAAUAAUAAAAUACAUAUAAAAAGUAGGUGUAUAUGUAUAUAUUUACAAAAGUUAAAGUAUAUACAUAUAUAUUAUAAAAGUAUGCGUACAUAUGUGUAUAAAUUUGUUGAAGUCAUAAAAUAUGUAAAAGAAAUAUAUGUGUAUAUAUAUAAUUAUGGAAAUAUAUAUAUAAUAUAUAUUUAUAAAAGUAUGUAUGUAUGCAUACAUAUAUAAAAAAAAUUUAAAAUAUCUUCAUGUAAACCAUAUAAUAAAUAAAUAAAAAGGCACGUAUAAAUAUACAAAAUAAAUAAAUAAAUAAACGAAAAUUGUAUUGAAUUGAAAUUAAAAUAAAAUUGAGAGCCUAAAUUUAAAUAAAAUGCAAAAGGGACUAAAUUGAGAAAAAAAUAAAAUUUAAGAGCCAAUUUUAAAAAGAAGAACGAAUCAGGGCCCAAAUGCAACACGCGUAAAAAUGGAGAGACCAAUCGGGCAAAAUGCGCAAAUUCGGACACGUGUCCGCUAUCAGUGCAUCGAUGGGUCAGGGAUCUGAUCAAAAUCUAAGCAAAAUUCUUGGGGCAAAUUUCAAAAAGGUUGAAAAUAAGCAUCAGGACUAAAUUAAAACGAUCAAUAACGAGGAAGGACCAAGAGCGUAAAUAGCCCAUUCAAUGAAAACGCGCGGAUCCCCUGGAGCGGGUCGGGUCGCGCGCGGGUCAUGGGGCUAAACGGCGCCGUUUUACUUUCUUUAUUUAAGACCAAAUUUUUUUUAAAACUCAUUUUUAGCCCCUUUUUUCAAAAAAACUGAAACCAAACCCUAAACACCCUUUUCUACCUUUUCUCCUCAUGCUUUCUGACCGGAGGACUGUGCCGCCACCAAGGUCGACGGACGGUGGUAAAAAACUGGGUUUUAAACCCUUUUUGCGGUGUCCUUGAGAGCCAAGCUCUCUCAACCCACGAAAACGACAAAAAGGAAGGGAGCUCUCGGUCCCUUUUUGGACCUGAGUCGACGACGGAGGAGAAGCCCUCCGACGGCGCAGCCAUGGCCGUCCCCGGUGAGUUUUCUCCCUUUUUCUUUAUUCUUAUUUUCGUAGAUAAAAAAAUAAACAAAAUAACUAAAAAGGAUCUAAAACAAUAAGAACAAAAAGUGAAAUAUCAUCUUUGAAACCUUGUUUUUUUAUUUCUUUGAAAGUUUUUGUACAAAAAUAAAAAAAAGCCCCUCUAUUACAGUGAUUCGGCUUAGCCGAAGGAAAAAAAAUUCCCCCCUUUUGCAUUGAAUUUCUUGAUUUUAUAGCCAAAAAAUGCCCAUUUGCUUUUUUUCUGUUUGUUACUGCUUCUCUGCUAUUUUGGGUUGCUGUUGCGUGUUUCAUUUUAUUUUGCAGGUGGAGCAGUGGUUUAGGCAGAUGGCGAUGGGACAAGGCGAAUGGCGGUGGCAGGUGGUGGCAGAGUACGGCGCACAUGGGAGCAACAAGGGAUGGGCUGUUGUUGUUGGGCUUAGGGUUUUUAUAUUUUUUACCAUUGGGCCUAAUUUGGGUAGUGGGUUUAGUUUGGGUACUAGGCCCGGGUCAAAAAUUGGUCUGUACAGCUGCCCCUCUUUGCGCGUUGUCGUGUAACGAGAACAGAGCAAAAACUAAGAAAGACCAAUUUUUGCCCAGUCUUGCUGAUUCUUGACUUUUCUUGAUGCUUCUCUUUUCGAGUAGCUUUAUUCCAGUCCACUGUGUCUUGUUGCGUCAAUCCACUCCAGUGCACUUCAGAAAAAUCUGACUUGUAGCUUCAAUCUUCUUCGCAGCAACUUCAGGGGGACGUGAUUUGUGGUUUUAGUCUGCUCCACUACAACGUCAGGGAGAUAAGACUUGUAUUUUCAACCUGCUCCACUGCAACUUCAGGGAGAUAAGGUUUGAUGCGAUCUGCUCUACUGCAACGUUAGAGAGAUAAGAUCUAUGGUUUUAAUCCGCUUCACUGCAACUUCAGGAAGAUAGGAUUGAUUUCUUUCGUCUGCUCCACUGUAACUUCAAGGAGACUUAGACUGGAUGCAUUCUGCUCUACUGCAACUUCAGAGAGAUAAGAUCUAUUACUUUAAUUCGCUCCUCUUCAACUUCAGGGAGAUAAAAUUUGCCAUCUUCGAUCUGCCCCACUGCAACUUCAGGGGGAUAAAACCUGUUUACUCAGUCUGCUCUACUACAACUUCAGGGAGAUAAGACUUGAUGCGAUCCACUCUACUGCAACUUCAGAGAGAUAAGAUCUAUUACUUUAAUUCACUUCUCUGCAACUUCAGGGAGAUAGAAUUAUCGGCUUCAAUGUACUCUACUGUAAUCACAGGGAAGUAAAAUCUGUCAUAUUCAAUCUGCUCCACUUUUGGGAGAUAAGAUCUAAAAUCUUCAAUCUAUUCCACUGCCAACCAGGGAGAUAGAAUGAUCGACUUCAAUGUACUCUACUGUAGUCACAGGGAGGUAAAAUUUGCCAUCUUCAAUCUGAUUCGCUGUCAGGACAGGAAGGCAAGAUCUGCUAUUUUUUGUCUGCUCCAUUGUCAGUACAAGAAGGCAAGACUGGUUUCUUCGAUCUGCUUCACCGUCAAUGCAGGAAUGCAAGAUCUGCUAUCUUUGACCUACUCCACUACAACCAAGAGCGGUAAGGUUUGUGUCUUUAAUCUGCUUCGCUGUCAAUGCAGGAAGGCAAGAUUUGCUUUUUUCGAUCCCCUCCGCUGCCAAAUACAGGAAGACAAGAUCUGCUAUCUUCGAUCCCCUUCGCUGCCAAAUACAGGAGAACAAGAUCUGCUAUCUUCGAUCCCCUCCGCUGCCAAAUACAGGAGGACAAGAUCUGCUAUCUUCGAUCCCCUUCGCUGCCAAAUACAGGAAGACAAGAUCUGCUAUCUUCGAUCUCCUCCGCUGCCAAAUACAGGAAGACAAGAUCUGCUUCUUCGAUCCCCUCCGCUGCCAAAUACAGAAAGAUAAGAUCUGCUAUCUUUGAUCCCCUCCGCUGCCAAAUACAGGAAGACAAGAUCUACUAUUUUCGAUCCCAUCCGCUGCCAAAUACAAGAAGACAAGAUCUGCUUUCUUUUAUCUACUCUGCUGCCUAAUACAGGAAGAUAAGAUUUACUUUUUUCGAUCUCCCCCGCUGCCAAAUAUAGGAAGACAAGAUCUACUAUCUUUGAUCUCCUCCACUGCCAAAUACAAGAAGACAAGAUCUACUAUCUUCGAUCCCCCCCACUGCAAAAUACAGGAAGACAAGAUCUGCUUUCUUUGGUCCCCUCCGCUGCCAAAUACAGGAAGACAAGAUCUCUGCUAUCUUUGAUCCCCUCCGCUGCCAACUACAGGAAGACAAGAUCUGCUAUCUUUGAUCCCCUCUGCUGCCAAAUACAGGAAGACAAGAUCUGCUAUCUUCGAUCCCAUUCGCUGCCAAAUACAGGAAAACAAGAUCUGCUAUCUUAGAUACCCUCCGCUGUCAAAUGCAGGAAGACAAGAUCUGCUAUCUUCGAUCCCUUCCGCUGCCAAAUACAGGAAGACAAGAUCUGCUAUCUUCGAUCCCCUCCGCUGCCAAAUACAGGAAGACAAGAUCUGCUAUCUUCGAUCCCCUCUACUGCCAAAUACAGGAAGACAAGAUCUGCUAUAUUUGACCCCCUCCGCUGCCAAAUAUAGGAAGACAAGAUCUUCUAUCUUCGAUCCCCUCUGCUGCCAAAUACAGGAAGACAAGAUCUGCUAUCUUCGAUCCCCUCCGCUGCCAAAUAUAGGAAGACAAGAUCUGCUAUCUUCGAUCCCCUCUACUACCAAAUACAGGAAGACAAGAUCUGCUUUCUUCGAUCCCCUCCGCUACCAAAUACAAGAAGACAAGAUCUGUUAUCUUCGAUCUACUCUACUGCCAAAUACAGGAAGACAAAAUCUGCUAUCUUCGAUCCCCUCUGCUGCCAAAUAUAGGAAGACAAUAUAUGCUUUCUUUGAUCUACUCCGCUGCCUAAUACAAGAAGAUAAGAUCUGCUUUCUUCGAUCUCCUCUGUUGCCAAAUAUAGAAAGACAAGAUCUGCUAUCUUCGAUCCCCUCUACUGCCAAAUACAGGAAGACAAGAUCUGCUAUAUUCGAUCCCCUCUGCUGCCAAAUACAGGAAGACAAGAUCUUCUAUCUUCGAUCCCCUCCGCUGCCAAAUACAGGAAGACAAGAUCUGCUAUAUUCGAUCCCCUCUGCUACCAAAUACAAGAGACAAGAUCUACUUUCUUCGAUCCUCUCUGCUGCCAAAUACAGGAAGACAAGAUCUGCUAUCUUCGAUCUACUCCACUGCCAAAUACAGGAAGACAAGAUCUGCUAUCUUCGAUCCCCUCCGCUGCCAAAUACAGGAAGACAAUAUCUGCAUUCUUUGAUCUACUCCGCUGCCUAAUACAGGAAGAUAAGAUCUGCUUUCUUCAAUCUCCUCCGUUGCCAAAUAUAGAAAGACAAGAUCUGCUAUCUUUGAUCUCCUCCACUGCCAAAUAUAGGAAGACAAUAUCUGCUAUCUUCGAUCCCCUCCGCUGCCAAAUACAGGAAGACAAAAUCUACUAUCUUCGAUCCCCUCCGCUGCCAAAUAAAGGAAGACAAGAUCUGCUAUCUUCGAUCCCCUCCGCUACCAAAUACAGGAAAACAUAAUCUGCUAUCUUCGAUCCCCUCCGCUGCCAAAUAUAGGAAGACAAUAUCUGCUAUAUUCGAUCCCUCCGCUGCCAAAUGUAGGAAGACAAGAUCUGCUAUCUUCGAUCCCCUCCGCUGCCAGAUACAGGAAGACAAGAUCUGCUAUAUUCGAUCCCCUCCGCUGCCAAAUACAGGAAGACAAGAUCUGCUAUCUUCGAUCCCUUUCGCUGCCAAAUACAGGAAGACAAGAUCUGCUAUCUUCGAUCCCCUCCACUGCCAAAUACAGGAAGACAAGAUCUGCUAUCUUCGAUCCCUUCCGCUGCCAAAUACAGGAAUACAAGAUCUUCUAUCUUCGAUCCCCUCUGCUGCCAAAUACAGGAAGACAAGAUCUGCUAUCUUCGAUCCCCUCCGCUGCCAAAUACAGGAAGACAAGAUCUGCUAUCUUCGAUCCCCUCUGCUACCAAAUACAGGAAUACAAUAUCUGCUUUCUUUGAUCCCCUCCGCUGUCAAAUAUAGGAAGACAAGAUCUGCUAUGUUCGAUCUACUCCACUGCCAAAUACAGGAAGACAAGAUCUGCUAUCUUCGAUCCCCUCCGCUGCCAAAUACAGGAAGACAAGAUCUGCUACUUUUAGUCCAUUCCUCUGUAAUUUCUAAGAGAUAGAACUUGAUAUGACAACUUCAAUUCAUCCCACUGCAACUUCAGGGGUAUGGGUAACUUCAUUAUUAUGUUCUUUGGGGAAUAUGACCUGCAAAGUCCAUUUCAUGGACCUAUUAUGCCUAGUGAUUAGGAUGUUAUGAUCAGAACAAAUCAAAUGCUCCUAACUAGGUGUGUAUGAAUGAUAUUUACAUUGAAUAAUAUUUGCAUAAAUGCAGAAUGUCACUUUUCGAGAAUGAUCCCAUUUUAAUGUUUAGGUUGUCAUUAAUCGUUAUUCAUUGAGGCUCUAUUACUAACACAUCAGGACGUCAUCUUGUUCUGCUGGUAGCACUCAUCUCUCACUUAAAUGGAUUGCCCCCACUGUAAUCUUCAAAGUUCAAUCCACUGUAAUUUUGGGGCAUAAAAUUCGAGCCAUCUUCAUCCCAUUGAGUAUAAAAUCUGACUCUUUCUCAAUCCUCUCCCACUGUAAUUCAGGGAUACCGGAUCUGAAUCUCUUUGGUCUUCUACACUAUUCCCAGGGUUUCAUACCAAAUAUUUAUGCACAAUUGUAGGACUUUCUCUUUCAAGAAACCUCUUUUUACCACUGGUGAUCAUUGCUCGUUUGUUCAUUGAAGCUUUCUCAUCAGCACGACAUUUUAUCGUUUCAUUCAAUCCAUGUUUGGACAAUAAAAUUCGAAAGGAUAGUCUUAAUUUAAACUUUUCCUUCUUAGACAUUUCACCCUUUAAACUUGGUGUGCUCUAAACAAUAGUCCUGUUUCAGGUUCCUGUAUUAUUUAGAAGCUUUCAGAGUAAUAUGCAAAACUCCUUUUGUUUGAAUAUUAUCAGUCCAUUAAUCAUUAUUUCAAUGAAAAAUGCUUGAAAAAGAUUAUUACAAUGGACAAGAUGAAAUUUUAUUGAGAACAAGGCUCGAGAUGAAUAAAUUAAUCAAGAUAGAAAAUUUUGCUAAGAUAUGAUGAAAAGAUUAUCACAAUGGAUAAGAAGAAAUUUUAUUAAGAACAAAGCUCAAAAUGAAUAAAUUAAUCAAGAUAGCAAAUUUCACUAAGAUAAGAUGAAAAAGAUUAUCACAAUGGAUAAAAUGAAAAUUUAUUGAGGGCACGGCUCGAAGUGAAUAAAUUAAUCAAGAUAGCAAAUUUUGCUAGGAUACGAAAUGAAUAAGGCGAAAACAGGUGCCCCAGAUAUCGCAGCAUGAGCUUCUCUGUAUGAGUUUCUUGAAGAUUCUUUUGAACUUUAUAUGUGUUUAGAAGUCCUAGAAGACUUUGUUGAUGCCCCAAGAUGUAGCAUCUCUCCUUCUUGCUAAUUCAGAGAGGACAAGACUACCGCAUGCCCCACCUUUGAUCAAAAUUUAAACUGCCCAUUCCUGGGUUUUCAAUUCAAAACCCCUUUGGUCUCAAUGCGUCCUUUGUGGGUUUUCACCUUGGCCUCUCCUUUUUCUUUUUUUCUUCUUUUCUUCUUUUUUCUAUUCUUUUUUUCUUUUUUUGUUUGUUUUUUUCUUUGAACAUUCUUUGAUUGAAUUCGCACUCGUAGGAUCAGGUAAGUCCUUGCUAUCCUUUCUGGUCAAAAUCAACACAUUUCCAUAUAAAACCUUCCACAUACGGUUCUUUUCAAUUUGAUAUCCUCUUUCUUCUAAAGUCCCUUUUGUAUGGAGAGGAUUUUCUUCGAUGUUAGGUCCCAUUCAUGGAACUCUUUAGAGCGAACUUUCUUUGGUGAGCUGCAUCUUUCGUUUUUGGUGCAUUUGACCCAGAUGAAUAACUUUGAACAUUUCUCUUCAAUCGGGAUCUGAUCCACACUCGAAGGGAAGGAAUCUUGACCUCAAUAAGCAAAACCACGAUAAGCCAAUGCGUUGCCCCAGUAGCAGUUUUUCCUCUCUUUUUGUUUUUUUUUGUUUUUAUUUUUUGUUUUUUUUGCUCCCACUGCACCGUGCAUUUUGGGGCGAAAUGUGUUAACCUUGAACAGACUGCAAACUUCUGACAUUGUGCCAUUGUUCAAUUUUAGUACAUUGUCAGAUGUGCUCAUUUUUGGCAUUUCACACUGACAUUUGAUUUCUCAAGAAUUUACAUACUGUCAGCUUUGCGACAUUGGCAUAUGAAGCACCUUCUGCCCACUUAGCGAGGUAAUUGAUAACCAUAAAGAUAACCAUCAAAACCUUAGGUGAGGUUGACCCUGUGACAUCUGUGCCCCACAUAGAGGAAGACCAUGGUUUCCAUUGAUUCUUUGUAAGGUAGAAUCUUGUUCUCCCGUCCUUAACAAAUCAGGAGAUAAGCUACAGUCUUAGUUAUCUCCAAAGUCUUGUAGUUUAAUCUGGACACAUAUCUUUCUCAAAAAGAGGUUCUGAGUCAGUAGCAGUGUCGUUCAUAUCAUUGAUAUCUGAAGACCUGUUAUAGGGACGAAAGUGGAUCCAAAGAAUAAAAGAAUCUAAGAAUAUUUAUCUGUAUAGUAUGUUUAUGAAUAAAAUGGAAACAAUAAAAGAAUAUUUGCUCAAAAUGAGAAACAAAGAUGUAUUUUAUUGAAAUAAAGAUGUUGGACAUAAGCCUGUCUCACAAAAGGAUUCUUAUUGCCCCUAGGCUUAGAGUAAUAAGUGUGUUUUGAACAUUACUCCGAAUUAGCUCUAAAAAGUACAGGGAUCUCCUCCACGCUCCCAUUGUUCAAAAUACUCCCAAGUGUGUAAGGGCAAAUGCUUGAUUCUUCCUAGGGUCACUAUUCGGGUACUGUAUUAAUACUUUGAUAGCCGGUGAUUAUGGCAUUCGGUUGGCCCACAGUGACCGAUUUUGAAUACCCUUUUUUAUAUAAGCUCAGGUUGCUCACUUCAUUUUCUUUGAUAUUUGGGGUUGAUCUUUUAACAAUUUCCCCCGCAUCUAUCUUCCCACUUCUCAUGGCACUUUCAAUCAUCUCACCAGACAUUAUCAUAUCUGAGAAGCUCCUGGUAGCGCUUCCCAACAUGUGGUCAAUGAAUGGGGCUUUCAGUGUGUUGAUGAAAAGCACAGUGGUUUCUUUUUCCAAAAGAGGUGGUUGGACUUGUGUCGCUACCUCUUUCCAUCUUUGGGCGUAUUGCCUGAAGCUCCCACUUUGCUUCUUUUCUAUGUUCUGUAGUGUACUUCUGUCAGGUGCCAUGUCUGUCACGUGACCAUAUUACUUCAUGAAAGCUUGUGCCAAGUCCUUCCAUAAGUGGAUAUUGGCACGGCUCAACUGGUUGUACCAUUUGGCAGCUGAUCUAAUCAGACUAUCUUGGAAGCAAUGAAUUAACAGUUGAUCAUUAUCAACGUAUCCUGUCAUUCUUCGACAGAACAUCGUGAUGUGAGCUUCAGAACACUAGUCCCAUUAUAUUUUUUGAAUUCUGGAGCUUUGAACUUUGGUGGGAGUACUAGAUUUGGGACCAAACUCAGAUCCUUGGCAUCGAUCCUGCAAGGGUAAUCAACAUUCUCCAUUGCUUUGAUUUUUCUUCCAACCACCUAUACCGAUCUUCAAGUUGUUUUGGCAGUUCUACCCUUGCUUUUUCUAUUUCUGCCAUUUCAUCUAAAUUAGAAACUGCAGGAUUGGUUGGAUCACUCAUUGGAUUGGAACCUGAGCCUAUCAGGAAGUUCAUCGGUGCUGAGGCGCCAUCUUGGCAUUAGGGUCUAAUAUGAUCACGCGCUCCAUGUGGACACAUAUCCGGUCGUGCUUGAGAGUUCGCUGGGGCAAAAAUAAGGCCCUCCUGAUCAACUCCCGAAUUGAUUACAGGGUUCUUUGCUUUAUCAGCCAAUAAUUGUGCCAGUUGGCUCAUAAUUCAUUGGGAUUCCAGUGCAUCUUGUUGGAUCUUUUCUAGUUGUUCUUGCAUUUGGGCUUGCAUCUGUUCUUACAAUUGUUCUAAUCUCUCCAACCUUUUGUCCAUUUCUCUAGUAUUUGCUUGAAUAUCGUAAGGGUAUUUGGUUGGUUGGUUUUCCAGGUUAGCUGAAAUAAAUUUACUCGUUUAGACUCUUUUAAUGGAUUUUAACGCAUGUAAUGCAAUAUAAUGCAAAUGCAUGAAAUGAAUGUCUAAAAAGGCGUUGAUUCUGAUUCAAUUCCAUUUAGGAAACUUUUCUAGAAAGUAAAUUCCCUUACAUAAAAUGGAUACAUGUACGGCCUCACCCUCAUAUUCCAAAAAACAACAUCGGUCUUUUUCUUCAUCCGCAUGUUUGAGGUUAUCUCGCCAAUAGAUGUCAUUGCUAGCUCAUUCUCUUGAUCUUGGUCGCGAUCCAUCAUCUGCCCAUCUUCAUAGGGCUCGUCAGCUUGUCGAAGGCUUUUGGACAAUCAUAUCGAACCUUUAGGCCACGAAGUAAAGAUCACGAACUCUUCCAUCGCCCUUCUUGUGUUUCUCAGAAUAUAUUUGGGAAGUCGUAUUGUUUUCCACUUUAUCAAGGAAUCUGUAUUCCAUGACAAGCUUUCUAAUUUAGUAAUCGGACUUAAAUCAAUAUCUCUUUCCUAAGAUGUAGAUGCGAUGCAAUCAUAAUCAAAGCACAAUAAGAGGGGUUAGUACAAACAUAAACAAGGAAAACAGAAAGUACCUAAUCGGGUGAUUACUAGGGGUUUGGAGUGGCUCUAUCUAGACUAAGUUCCUAAGUCCACUAUAUGAGGUUUGACUCUAAAGAUAAGGUACCCGAACCAGCAGAUUCCUCGAUCCUCACCCAUUAUAGGCUCAUAUAGACCGAGUUUAGUUCAGGGGGAUACAUUUCCCUAUGGCCAUGCGGAGAUGAAAAUCUCACGAAGACAUAGGUACGGAUGUAUCCCGAAAGCGUUUCACUAUCCCAUGCGGAGGUGAAAACCUCACGAAGGCGUAGCUUCUCACUUCCACUUAAAAAGGUGUGACCAACGGUCAUGCAAUGCAAUGCAGAAAGAUACUAAAAUUUAAACAAACAGAGCAAUUAUAAACCACAACAAUGAAAAUUGUAAUAAAGACGAAUAAAAUGCAAUGAAAGGAUCAUAAAUUUAAACCGAAUUUUUAAUUUUCGACAAAAAGACAAAAAGUAAUAAACUCGUGGCUUGACUCUCUUAUUUUGGGUCCCCAGCGGAGUCGCCAAGCUGUUGACACCAUUUUUUGGAUGAAAAUGGGGUCGACUUGGGUUUUGAAAAAUGAAACGGGAGUCGCCACCAAUCCUUUUUAAUGAGGUGUGAUUGGAUCAUCUCGAAAAGUGGUUGUUUUUAAUAAACGGUUUAAUUUUAUUAAAAUAACGAUUUUGGUCCACGAAAUUCAGAAAUCAGGUUCGGGAGUCGGUUACGUACGAGGAAGGAUUAGCACCCUCGUAACGCUCAAAAAUUGGUACCUAGUUGAUUAGCUAAUGUCUUAAUGUCGAAAAUUGAAAACUUGAAAAAGAUUUUAAAAUAUGAUCCUUGUAUUAAAAUGUUAAAAAUUUUCGGGAAAAAGGGGCACGUUCCACGUUAAUCGAGAAAGAAAGCAUCAUAUCCAGUAAGUUAGGACACAAUGUCUCGAAUUCCUGAUAUGGGAAUGAAUGUCAAAAUUUACUUAUUUAAAAGAUGAUUAAUUAUCUCGGGUUUAGAAAAUGGAUCAUGCCCAGUAAGUUAGGACACGAUCUUUUCUUAAUUUCUGAAAUUGUUUAAAACUUGAGUUUGAAAAGAUUCGUGUAUUUAGAUUUAUUAUGAAAAUCGAAACCCAGUAAGUUAGGGUACGACCUUCUCGAAUCUAAAUACAAGAUUUUGCUUAUUCAAAAAUCAUGAUUUAUGCAUCGAAUAAAAUUAAUCUAACAAGAAAUAAAACACAAUGUCAAUAUGCGAACAAAACAAAAUUGAAUACGAUGAUGUAGCAUAAAUAAUAUGAGUAAUAGCAAUGAAAAUAAAUUAGAUAAAAGGAUAAAUCAAUAACAUACAAAAUAACAAUGCAUAUAAGGAAAUAAAAUUAAAACAUUCAUUCAAAAUAAUAAUGAAAAUAUAAAUAAAUAAUGAAUACAAUUAAAAAAUGUGAAGAGAUAUAUAUGUAUAUAGAUACAAAUUAAAAAAACAUGUAUGUGUGAAUUAUAAAAUAUAUAUAAAAUAUAAAAUAUAUAUUUUAAAACGUAAAGAAUAUAUAUAAGUAUGUAUAUGAAGAAAAUAUGUAUAUAUAUAUGUAGGUAUAUAAAAAUUAUAAAAUAUGAAAAUAAUAAAAUACAUAUAAAAAGUAGGUGUAUAUGUAUAUAUUUACAAAAGUUAAAGUAUAUACAUAUAUAUUAUAAAAAGUAUGCGUACAUAUGUGUAUAAAUUUGUUGAAGUCAUAAAAUAUGUAAAAGAAAUAUAUGUGUAUAUAUAUAAUUAUGGAAAUAUAUAUAUAAUAUAUAUUUAUAAAAGUAUGUAUGUAUGCAUACAUAUAUAAAAAAAAUUUAAAAUAUCUUCAUGUAAACCAUAUAAUAAAUAAAUAAAAAGGCACGUAUAAAUAUACAAAAUAAAUAAAUAAAUAAACGAAAAUUGUAUUGAAUUGAAAUUAAAAUAAAAUUGAGAGCCUAAAUUUAAAUAAAAUGCGAAAGGGACUAAAUUGAGAAAAAAAUAAAAUUUAAGAGCCAAUUUUAAAAAGAAGAGCGAAUCAGGGCCCAAAUGCAACACGCGUAAAAAUGGAGGGACCAAUCGGGCAAAAUGCGCAAAUUCGGACACGUGUCCGCUAUCAGUGCAUUGAUGGGUCAGGGAUCUGAUUAAAAUCUAAGCAAAAUUCUUGGGGUAAAUUUCAAAAAGGUUGAAAAUAAGCAUCAGGACUAAAUUAAAACGAUCAAUAACGAGGAAGGACCAAGAGUGUAAAUAGCCCAUUGAAUGAAAACGCGCGGAUCCCCUGGAGCGGGUCAUGGGGAUAAACGGCGCCGUUUUACUUUCUUUAUUUAAGACCAAAUUUUUUUAAAACUCAUUUUCAGCCCCCUUUUUCAAAAAAAACUGAAACCAAACCCUAAACACCCUUUUCUGCCUUUUCUCCUCAUGCUUUCCGACUGGAGGACCGCGCCGCCACCAAGGUUGACGGACGGUGGUAAAAAACUGGGUUUUAAACCCUUUUUGCGGUGUCCUUGAGAGCCAAGCUCUCUCAACCCACGAAAACGACAAAAAGGAAGGGAGCUCUCGGUCCCUUUUUGGACCUGAGUCGACGACGGAGGAGAAGCCCUCCGACGGCGCAGCCAUGGCCGUCCCCGGUGAGUUUUCUCCCUUUUUCUUUAUUCUUAUUUUCGUAGAUAAAAAAAACAAAAUAACUAAAAAGGAUCUAAAACAAAAAGAACAAAAAGUGAAAUAUCAUCUUUGAAACCUUGUUUUUUUUAUUUCUUUGAAAUUUUUUGUACAAAAAUAAAAAAAAGCCCCUCUAUUAUAGUGAUUCGGCUUAGCCGAAGGGAAAAAAAAUUCCCUCCUUUUGCAUUGAAUUUCUUGAUUUUAUAGCCAAAAAAUGCCCAUUUGCUUUUUUUUUCUGUUUGUUACUGCUUCUCUGCUAUUUUGGGUUGUUGUUGCAUGUUUCAUUUUAUUUUAUAGGUGGAGCAGUGGUUGAGGCAGAUGGCGAUGGGACAUGGCGAACGGCGGUGGCAGAGUACGGCGCACAUGGGAGUAACAGGGGAUGGGCUGUUGUUGUUGGGCUUAGGGUUUUUAUAUUUUUUACCACUGGGCCUAAUUUAGGUAGUGGGUUUAGUUUGGGUACUAGGCCCGGGUCAAAAAUUGGUCUGUACAGCUGCCCCUCUUUGCGCGUUGUCGUGCAACGAGAACAGAGCAAAGACUAAAAAAGACUAAUUUUUGCCCAGUCUUGCUGAUUCUUGACUUCUCUUGAUGCUUCUCUUUUCGAGUAGCUUUAUUCCAGUACACUGUGUCUUGUUGCGUCGAUCCACUCCAGUGUACUUCAGAAAAAUCUGACUUGUAGCUUCAAUCUUCUUCGCAGCAACUUCAGGGGGACGUGAUUCCUGGUUUUAGUCUGCUCCACUACAACGUCAGGGAGAUAAGACUUGUAUUUUCAACCUGCUCCACUGCAACUUCAGGGAGAUAAGGUUUGAUGCGAUCUGCUCUACUGCAACGUUAGAGAGAUAAGAUUUGUGGUUUUAAUCCGCUUCACUGCAACUUCAGGAAGAUAGGAUUGAUUUCUUUCGUCUGCUCCACUGUAACUUCAGGGAGAUAAGACUGGAUGCAAUCUGCUCUACUGCAACUUCAGAGAGAUAAGAUCUAUUACUUUAAUUCGCUCCUCUUCAACUUCAGGGAGAUAAAAUUUUCCAUCUUCGAUCUGCCCCACUGCAACUUCAGGGGGAUAAGACCUGCUUACUCAGUCUGCUCCACUACAACUUCAGGAGAUAAGACUUGAUGCGAUCCACUCUACUGCAACUUCAGAGAGAUAAGAUCUAUUACUUUAAUCUGCUUCUCUGCAACUUCAGGGAGAUAGAAUUAUCGGCUUCAAUGUACUCUACUGUAAUCACAGGGAGGUAAAAUCUGCCAUCUUCAAUCUGCUCCACUUUUGGGAGAUGGCAAUGGGACAAGGCGAACGGCAGUGGAAGGUGGUGGCAGAGUACAGUGCACAUGGGAGCAACAAGGAAUGGCUAGGGUUUGCUAUGAAUUUUUAGUUUGUGGGCUGUUGUUGUUGGGCUUAGGGUUUUUAUAUUUUUUUACCAUUGGGCCUAAUUUGGGUAGUGGGUUUAGUUUGGGUACUAGGCGUUUUGAAAUUUUAAAAAAAAAUCAUUUGGUAUCCAUGUAAUAAAAAAAUAACUUUAUAAUGGACUUAAAUUUAAUAGAGAAUUUACUGGUGUUAACAAUUCUUAAAAAUUCACCUCAGCAUUUUAAUCAGAAAAAAAUAUUUAGACUAACUAAUUUGAGCGAAAUAUAUGGAUCAAAAUUAAAAUUUAACCAUUCUUGUAUAAUUUUAAAAAAGUAGAUGGAUUAGAACUGAAAUUCAUUAUUUUCUCGUGUCAAGAGAAAAGAAAAGAAAAGGAUUGAACAGAUGUCUAAAUUAUGUCAAAAUUAAAGUAUAGAAUUUAAAUAUCAAAUUUGAUCGAAAUAUAAAGAUUGAAAUUGAAAUUUAACCAUACUUAUAUAAUUAUAAAAAAGUACAGAGGUUAGAACUGAAAUUUAACCAUUACUUUUCGUGUGAAAAAAAUAAUCCACAUAUGUCUUUUAAGGAAUCUGACACAGGUUAAAUUUUGUUAUUAAAUCCUGUACUUUAUAAAAUUUUUGGAUUUAGCCCUUAUACUUUAAUUUGAUCAUUUUUAGUCUUUGUACAUUUUGAAUUGGUCAAUUUUAUUCCUUAUACAUUUUGAAGUUUGAAAUUUUACAUUUAAUUCAAUUUAGUCCUUAUUAUCUGAAACUACCAAUAAGCUUUAGAAUUUAGUCCUUUUUCAUAUCUAAGCUUAAACUCUUUCAAUUUAACACCUAAAGCUUUCAGUUCUCAGUAAUGGCAUCUUUCAAAAUUUUAACAGUUUCACAAAUUGGUACAUGAGCUAGCAAAUCAAGCACCCAUGACCUUAAAUCUAUAAAAAUUACAAGAAACUAAUUAGGGACUUACUUGAGUUUUGAAGUUAAAAGAGCUCGGACCUACGAAAAUGGCUUCUUCUUCUUGUUUCUAUCUUUGGUUUGGUUGGGGAAGAAGGGUUUCUCUUUCUCCCCACCAAAUUUCAGACACAUAUAUAUAAUUAACUUAGGUAAUUACGUAAUUAAUCUUAAAUUAAUAUAGAAUACUUAGUUUAAUGAUAAUAUGCUUACGCCGUCCACUACCUAAUGUUUAAACAUGGUAUAUUUUUUUCUAUUUUGAACCUUGAGUUAAUUGCAAUUUAAGUCCUCAAUUCAUUUCCUAAUUAAAAAUCUAUAGCGAUUAGACUUUUAUAAUUUAGUCUCUUGACCUUAAUUAAACACAAUUUCAACUAAAUUACUUAUCCCAAUUUUAAUUCACCUAUAUAAAAAUAUUUACGAGCUCGGUUUACGGAAGCAAAAUCCCAAAACCAUCUUUUUCGACAUCAUUGAACGUUGAACCAUUACAUUAGUAGCUUUUAAAAAGGCUUGAAAUACAUCAACUUCAAAUACAUUUAAAAGAUACGGAUGGGGAUAAAGUUUGCUCUGAAUCAAUCUCUUCUCUCAUUCGAUCAAGAAAAAAAUAAAUCAUCCAUCAACAAUGAAAUUAACCUAAGCAAAAGCUAGAACCAAAAUUAUCCAAAUAAAAAAUGUCAACAAACUCACUACAUUUAACUUUCCCAACACAUUGUUCUUCCAAGUCUUAUUCGAACAAAGAACGAAACAUGUUGUCCAAAGUCUUGUCCUAUCUUGCUAUCCCAAGUGUUAUUUGAACAAAGAAUCAAACAAUGGCAUCCCAUAUAGUUAACCAACAUAAAAAUAUAUGUUAAGUAAUAUUUGAUUUAAAUAAUUGAUGAUUCUUUUUUUUUUAAGAAAAAGAAUGGUAGUUCUUUUCUAAUUUAAUAAAAUAAUUUUUGAUAUUUUUAUAUAUUUAAAUAUUAAUUACUAAUUUGUGUAAAUGGUUUUUAAAUCCUUUUGUAACUAAAUUAAUAAAAUGAGCUGAAUGGAAGGGAGGGUUGUUCUGGCAAAAUCAGUGCUUGCUUCCCUUCCUACGAACACUAUACAAACGACCUUACUCUUGACACUAAGCUUUGUGGGGGGUUUUGUAUGGGAUUCGACUUUACAUUCUCAUUGAAUUCAUCUUAUGUUCACCAAUCAAUGUAUGUAGAAUGGUAUUUUGUGCAAUGAGGGACUGGAAUCUUAUCCUAUUAGCUAAAUUAGGAUAGAGAUUAAUGGUCGAAGGGGAUGCACUAUGGCCGAGGGUUGUUCAUGCGAAGUAUCUUUCAUCUGGGAACUUUUUGUAGGCUAUUAAACCUCUAAACUGUUCGCAUAUAUGGAGAAGUAUGUUGGCUGGUAUAGAGGUGCUUAACAAGAGUCUUCGGUGCUGAAUAGGUAAUGGAUCUAUAGUGUGGUUUUAAAAAGGUGGUUUGUUAAUUUUUAGGGCACUUUUGAACUCACAAGUCAGAUGUUUUUCAUUGCUUCUGUGGUGAAAAGCACUUUUGGAACCCCAAACUUGAUGAAGAAUGAGUUUUAAGUCGACCUCUAGAUUGUAUUUUGGAAGGGAUCAUAAGUCUUCUCCUGUGGCCGGUGGCAAAUAUGGCAGGCAUGGAGAGAUGGAAUUUUUUCAUAUGAGAAUCGCAAGAAGAGAUUGAUCAAAGAAGGUUAUGGUCAUAUUUGAUGAAAACAAUCAGAAAAAUCAUUCAUUCAUACCAGCAGUAGUCUGUUAUACAUUUAUAGACUUAGUUAUCCAACUAACUAACUCAUACAUAACUGAUACUAACAACUUUGCUAACUACUCUGCUAACUGCUAACUACUUUACUUCUCAACACUCCCCCUCAAGUUGAGGGUUGAUUCAUAUCUUUAACCCCUAACUUGGAUACUAAGUAUUCAUGUUGCCUAAUGCUUAAGGCCUUUGUCAUUAAAUCCGCAAGUUGCUCAGUUGUCUUAAUAUGCUGCAUCUGAACCGUUCCAUCCUUGAUUUUAUCACGCACAAAAUGACAAUUAAUCUCUAUAUGCUUUGUCCGUUCAUGGAAAACAAGGUUAGCUGCAAUUUGCAGUGCUACCUUACUAUCCGAAAAAAUCAAAGCUUUAUCAAACUGACUAGGACUCACUUCUCUCAACAGACCAUUCAACCAUACAACUUCUGCUACAGCCACUGCCAUACUCCUAUAUUCAGCUUCUGCUGACGAUCGAGAGACUGUGGUUUGUUUUUUUGACUUCCAUGAAAUAAGAGAAUCCCCAAGUUUAACACAAAACCCAGUGACUAACCUCCUUGACAUAGGACAUGAAGCCCAAUCAGAGUCACAAAAAGCCAUCAGCUGCGGCUUGCUUGCUGCAAAUAAGAAAAUACCUUGACCAGGUCUUCUCCUUAUGUACCGUACCAUACGAAAGGCAGCCUCCAAAUGAGAUUUCUUUGGUUUGUGCAUGAACUGACUUAGAUGUUGAACCGCAAACAUAAUGUCUAGUCUUGUAUUUGUCAGAUAUAGUAACCUUCCCAACAACCUUUGAUACAUCGAAACAUCUGUAAUUAAAUCAUCUCCUUUAAUUUUUGUUUGUACAGACUCAUCAUACUCAACUGAGGUAAGUUUCUGAUUCUGCUCAAGUGGUGCACAUACUGACUUUGCUUCCCCUAAUUCCAGAUCAGCUAUCAACUCUAGAGCAUACUUCCUUUGAUUCAAUAUGAUCCCCUUGUUUGAUCUCAUCACUUCUAUUCCAAGAAAAAACUUCAACACAACUAAAUCUUUCAUCUUAAAAUUUUAAUGUAGAAUUUGUUUCAAUUCAUUUAUCAUAUCAACACUACUAUCUGUAAUUAACAGAUGAUCUACAUAGAUGAGUAAGAUGACGAUGUUACCUCUACUCCUUUUUGUGAACAAGGAAUAAUCAUAUUUACUUUGCUCAUAUCCUCCUUGUAUUAAGGCCUCAGUAAGCUUUAAAUUCCACUGUCGAGAAGCUUAUUUCAGACCAUAUAAUGACUUACGAGUCGACAUACACGAGUCUCCCCCUGGCUGCGAAAACCAUCUGGAAGUUCCAUAUAAACUUCUUCAGACAAGUCCUCUUGAAGAAAAGCAUUGUAGACAUCCAUCUGAAAAAUAGGCCAAUCAUGAAUGGCUGCCAUACUAAUCACAGUUCGAACUGUUACAUGUUUAAUAACAGGAGAAAAAGUUUCAUGAAAAUCGAUUCUAGCCUUUUGAUUAUAACCUUUCCCAACAAGACGAGCUUUAAAACAAUCCAUGGAGCCAUCAGCAGUAUAUUUAAUCUUAUACACCCAUUUGCAGCUAAUGGGGAUAACACUAGCAGGUAAAGGAACAACUUCCCAUGUACCAUUAGCCUCCAAAGCUUGAAUCUCUUGUUGCAUAGCAUCAACCCACCGUGGAUCCGAAAUGGCCUCAUUAUAAGUGUGGGGUUCGACCAAAGAAGAAAUAUGCGCAUUAAACAAACGAGUAUGAAGAGGCAAAUGAGAAGAAGAAUAGACAGUAGCAAUAGGAAACAAACCUGUAGCACAAGAUGUGAGCGAUUGACUAGAGCAGACAUAAUCUUGCAUCCAAGAAGGCGUCUUGACAGACCUUGUAGUUCGGCGUAAUGAAAUACUAGUAGGUGUUGGAGGUAGAGAAAAGGAAGACGCUGGUAUGCAAGGUGAAGAGGAAGUAACAGGUAUAGAAGAGGAAGGAGAAACAGAGGUAACCGGGAUAGAGGGUGAAGGAGAUAUAGAGGGAACAGGUAUAAAAGGUGGAACUAAAGGCUCAAGUUGAAGAAAAACAGAAUGCUCAGUAUCAGGAAAAGGCAAAAAACGCCUUUUAGGAAAAGUAAAUGGGAAUACCGUUUCAUGAAAAACAACAUCACGAUUAACAAAAAAGGUUUUGGUUUCAAGAUUAAACAAUAAGUAUCCUUUUUGUACAAGUGAAUAACCCAUAAACACAGAAGGAACAACUUUAGGAGAAAACUUAUCACGAUAAUUGGGAGUAGUGGCAUAUACAAGACAACCAAAAACUUUUAAGUGAGAAAGAUCAGGUGACUUAUUAUACAAAAGUUCAAACGGACAUUUCCAGCUCAAAAUAAGUGUAGGAAGACGGUUAAUUAAAAAACAAGCAGUCAAAACACAUUCACCACAAAAUUUAGUAGGCACGUGAGACUGAAAUUUUAACGACCUAGCCAUUUCAAGUAAAUGUCUAUGUUUACGUUCAGCAACUCCGUUUUGCUGAGGAGUGUGAAUACAUGAACUUUGAUGAAUAACUCCAAACAUAGUAAAAAACUCAUUACACUCAUUUUUGAAGAACUCAUACCCAUUAUCACUACGAACAAUUUUUAUAACAGUGGAGAAUUAAGUUUUAAUCAAAACAAAAAAUUGUUUGAGAUAUAGAAGUGCAUCACUUUUUGACCGUAACAAAUAAACCCAAGUCAUUCGUGUGUAAUCAUCAACAAUUGUUAAAAAGAACCUAUGACCACUAUGAGUAGACACUCGAUAGGGUCCCCACAAAUCUAAGUGAAUAAGAGAAAAAGAAGCAUUAACACGAGAUUUAUGAACAGGAAAAGGAAGCCUCGUUUGUUUAGCUAAUGGACAAACAGAACAUUUAUGAAUAUUAUCCAUAUCUGAUUUUGUACUAGAAAAAUUAGGAACCUUAUUUAAUCUUAAAACCGACGCAUGACCGAGUCUAGUGUGCCAAAGAAAAGACGAGUCAACUGUAGCAACAGUAAUAACAGAGGAAGGUGAAACCACAGAAGUCUGUCGAGACAAAUCCAGGAUGUAAAGACCACCUCGUGCUUUACCAAUCCCCCUCAUCUUGCCACUGGAGAGAUCCUGUAUAAGACAAAAUUGGGGAUAAAAAGAAACCACACAAUUGAGAUCAGUAGUGAGUUUUGAAACAGAAAGUAAAUUGUAAUGAAAGUUCGGGACACAAAGAACUCUCUUCAAUAAAAGAUUAAGCAAAAUGGAACAUGCUCCAACAUGAGUAACCGAAACAAUGGAACCAUUUGGAAGUCAAACACUCGGUGACCCAAAUUCACAUGCAACAGGAGAGUCCAAGAAACGAAGAUCCGAUAGUAUAUGGUCAGUAGCUCCAGUAUCUAUAAUCCAUCUAUUGCUAAUAUCAGGCAUACCUGCUAAGCUGGCAGCAGCUUCAACCACAACAGGUUCCUUGUUUAACAGAUACAAAAUCUGAUUAUACUGCUCCUGCGUAAAAACUGGCACUUGCAAACGAGACUUAUGGGAACCUACCACUUCACUACUACAAACAGAGUCAGGAGCAAAUACAUUAUUUACUGCAGAAUUAUGCACCUUCUUUUGUAAAUUUGAAAUCAGCAGGAUAGCCAAUCAACUUGUAACAUGUCUCCCUCUUAUGUCCUUUAACCUUGCAAUGAUCACAAAUGCCAUUGAAUCUCUUCUUUUGUACCAUCUGGACUGAAGAGAAAAAAACCAAAUCAUCUCCAAUAGUACUAGAACUAUGCUUCCUUUGCGAUUCUUCUUGCAUAAGCAUCGAAUACGCAUGAUUAACGCUUGGUAAUGGACUUAUCAACAAAAUUUGGCUACGCACCGCACUAUACGAGUCAUUCAAACCCAUAAGAAAUUGAAACAAAUGUUGUUGUUCAACAUGUUUAACAUUCUGCCUAGAUUGAGGACACCCACAAGCAAACGGACGUACAAGGGCAUCAUACUCAUCCCAGAGUAACCUUAACUUGGUAAAGUAGGCAGAGAUAGAAACAGUACUUUGAGAAGACGAGGUAAUUUCACGAUGCAAGAAGUAAAUUCUUGAACCAUCAAUUUUGUGAAACCUCUCACUAAGAUCACUCCACACCGCUGCUGCACUAGACGCAAAUACAAUCCCUGCGAAAAGUUCUUUGCUGACCGUAUUCAGAAUCCAGGAUAACACAAUCGCAUUGCACCGCUCCCAUUGAUAACCCAUUUCUUCCGGCUAUAUAUCUUUGGAACAAGUACCGUCCACAAAUCCCAAUUUGUUUUUCGCUAGUAAUGCGAUUUUCAUCAUUCUACUCCAGACGUUGUAGUUCUCAACACCAAGCAACUGAUGGUCUACCAACAAAGUACCCGGAGUGUCAGAAGGAUGCAAGUAAAGCUGAUGAUUGAAAUCGGUGAUUGAAUCGGAGAUACUCAUUGCCACGAACCAAAAAAAACAAGGGAAUACAGACCGAAAAUGCCCUAAAUUAACAGCCCAAUUUUGUUGAAUCAAGCAGACUUGGGCUACAAACACAAGCCCAACAAGUUACCUUAUGAAAUACAACGAACCAGUAUGCCAAAGAAAGAAGAAAAAAACAUCUGACCACACCAGCAAACGCAGAAAAAUCAAUGCAACAAGAAUUGAACACAGCAACCAAAAAACAAUCACAGUCGCUGAUUAACAACUCAUCGAAAAAUUUGAUACUUUCCGUGGCUCCGAUACCAUGAUGAAAACAAUCAGAAAAAUCAUUCAUUCAUACCAGCAGUAGUCUGUUAUACAUUUAUAGACUUAGUUAUCCAACUAACUAAACUAACUCAUACAUAACUGAUACUAACAACUUUGCUAACUACUCUUCUAACUGUUAACUACUUUACUUCUCAACAAUAUUGGAGACAGUACUUCGCAUAUAUUGAGGGGCUGUUAGGCAGCAAAGGAACUUUGGCUGUAGUUUUUAGGAAGAGGUCAUGAUUCUGGAUUUUUCUUUUUUGCCAACUGCUGAAUGGUGGGUUGUGUGAUGGGAGACUGGUGUUGGACUGUUGUUUGAAUUGCAAAUGGAUGUAUGUUUGUCUUCAACAUUCCUACAAGACUGCAAUGGAAAGGAUUAUGGAAAAUCUGAGCUUUAUGGAAAUCUUUUAAGUAGAUGAACAUCAUGUACAUAAUAUCUCUAAAAACAAGAUUUAUUUGAAUAAUAUUACGAAUAUAAUAUAAGAAUAAUAAUUAAAACACAACAUACACGAACAUGUCAAAAUCUAUAUAAAAUAUUAUUAACCUAUCAAGUUUUAUAAAAAAUAUACAAUAGCUUAAAUAAAAUUAAGACAUUAAAACCAAACAUGAGCAUCACAUAAAUACACAAAUUUUCUUUUUUAUCUAGAAGUACAUGUGUUCAACUUCAACCACUGUAUGUCAUAUGAACUUUUAAGAAUCUUCUGAAUACAUAAAAGACCUAAAGUAAAAUUAAACCUUACUCAUGUCUAAAUAAAACCAAUUUCUAACAAUCCCACCCAUGUCUCAACAACCAAAUAUUACACAAAAGGUUAAAGAGGAUUACCAAAUAUCUUGUUUGAUGAAGAGCCAAUAUAACUCAAACCAAGAAUUACAUCAAACAGAGACUUCCAAAGUGUCGAAACCACUUUUUAAAAACAAGAAAUAGUGUCAACUUAUUAAAAAAACAAAAAUUGGAGUCGCCACCGAUCUUUUAUUGAGGUGGGAUCGAAUCACCUUAAAAAUGAUUUUAGUCUACGAGUUUCAGAAAAAAAUAGGUUCGGGAGUCAGUUACGUACGAGAAAGGAUUAGCACCCUUGUAACGCCCAAAAUUGGUACCGAAUUGAUUAUUUAAUAUCUUAAAGUUGAAUUUAAAAAUGAUUCCCCUUUUAAUAAUGCCAUAUUUUAAAACAAUGCUUGGAUAUAUUUUAACGAAUAUAAAAGAGUCUCUCAUCGUGAGGCAACAGAAUGUAGUAUCUCGUAAGUUAGGAUGCAACGUUUGAAUUCCCGAGCAUAAGUUAACCUUUAAAAAUCUUUAUUGUGUAUUCAAACUAAAUAUUUAGCCGUUUUAAUUCGACGAGAAAAUUGAAACCCCGUAAGUUAGGAUAUGAUUUCUCGAAAUUCCAAAGACGGCAUAUAACUUGCUUUUAAUCUUAUUAAAAAGAGCUAUAUUUUUUGAAAAUUAAAAAAAUGGUCAUUUCGGAUUAACGAGAAAAUUGAAACCCCGUAAGUUAGGGUACGAUUUCUCGAAGCUUCGAAACGUGAAAUACGACUUUGUUUUGAGAAGAUUUCAAAUAAGAGUUGUUGACACCAUUUUUUGGAUAAAAACGGGGUCGACUUGGGUUUUGAAAAAUGAAAACGAAAGUGGGAGUCACCACCAACCUUUUUUGAUGAGGUGUAAUCGGGUCACUUUGUAAAAGUGGUUGUUUUUAAUAAAUAAUUUAAUUUUAUUAAAAUAACGGUUUUAGUCUACGAAAUUUAAAAAAAUGGGUUCAGGAGUCGGUUACGUACAAGGAAGGAUUAGCACCCUCGUAACGCCCAAAAAUUGAUACCUAGUUGAUUAGUUAAUGUCUUAAUGUCAAAAAUUUUAAACUUUGAAGAGAUUUAGAAUACGACCCUUGUAUUAAAACAUUAAAAAUUUCUGAGGUAGAGGCAUAUUUUCACGUUAAUCGAAAAAUAGAAUUAUGUCCGUAAGUUAGGACGCAAUGUCUAAAAUUUUCAAUACGAGAAUGAAUGCUGAAAAUAUUAUCUUAAAAUGAUAUUAGAUUAUCUCGAGUUUUAGAAAAGUGGUCAUGUCCCGUGAGUUAGAAUAUGAUCCUUUACUAAUUCUCGAAAUCGUUUAAAAGUUUAAGUUUGACAAUAUCCGUGUAUUUAAAUUUAUCGAGAAAGUCGAAACCCUGUAAGUUAGGGUACGACUCUUAAAAUACAAAUUUAGUUAGAACAACAUUUAAAAUGCAUCGAGUAAAAGGUACGCUAUUUUAUAGUAAAACAUAUAAAUAAAUCACAAGAUUAAUAUAUAUAUAUAUAUAUAUAUAAAAUGAUGAAUGCGAUAAUACGAAUGGUACUAAUUAAGGGCGAAAGUAAGAUAAAUACAGAAAAGAUAAGAGAAUGAAUAGAAACUAGAACUAGGCUAAAAACGAUAAUAAACAAUUACAUAAAUAAAUUAUAUAUAAAUAAUUAAAAAGUUAAUAAUAAUAAAAAUAAUGAUGGACAAAUAAUUAAUUAAGUAAAUAAAUGUUGAAUAAAACAAUAAUAACAAUAAUAACAAUAAUGAAAAUAAAUAAAAUUUAAAAAAUAAAAAAUAAAAAUAAAAACCUAUGUGUAUGAAUACAACAAAGUUUGAAAAGAAUAAAAAUGUAAAAACAAGUAAAUAAUGAUAAUGUGUAUAUGUGUUUGAAAAUGUAUUAAAAAAUAUGUAUAUAUAUAUGUAUAUGUAAAUUAUAGAGUAUAAAAUAUAUAUAAGUAUGUACGUAUAUAUAAAUCAAAAAUAUGUAAGUAUGUAUAUACAUAUAUGUGUAUAAAUUAGAACGUAUAUACAUAUAUACAUAUAUAAAUUAUGAAAUAUAAAAAGUAUAUAAAAGUAUGUAUAUAUGUACAUAUAUAAAAUAAAAAAUGUAUGUUGACAUAUGUAUAUAUAUACGCAUAUAAAUAUAGAACAUAGGUAUGUAUGUAAAUUGUAUAUCAUAAAAAUAUGUGUAUAUGAGGAUUUGUAUAUGCGUGAAGAUAAAUGUAAAUAUAUAUAUAGACAUAUAAAUAUAUAUGUAUAAAAUGAGUAUAUAUAAAAAUGAAAUGAAACAUACUUAAAAUAACUUUAAAAUGUAUGUAUACAUAUCUUUUGAGACUAUAAAAUAUGAAAAGAAUAUACAUAUGUAUAUAUAGUUUUAAGUUAUAAAAAAGGGAUUUGUACCUGCACAAACACCAUUUUAUCUUAACCAGGAAUAUUAUGUGUCUUAUCCAAUGAUAAACCAGCCAUUGGAAACAACCAAUGGUAAACAAACUAGUUGGAAACAAUUUUUCAAACAUGGUGUAGAGUAUGCCAUUUUCCUUCAUUUCGCACAGAACAGGGAAGGGUUUCAAGAGCACACUACCCAGGUAUGGUUUCCCCUUUUCUUUUUCGUUUGUUUCGAAUAAAAUAAAGAAAGAAAAAAAACAGCGAAGUGGAAAGACGCAGAAAAAAAUAUUAAAUCACCUAUUAAGGAAUUCGUUUUUUUUAUUCGCCGUAUUCUCUUCCCCUUUUUACAAUAUCAAAUCUGCUUUUUAUAGCAAAUAAUGGAAACAGAAAAAUGUAAAGAAAAAUCUAAUUUUAAAUGCGUUUCUUUGCUUGUUGCCUUUUGUUUGCAAUUUAUCUGGUUUUCUUGCUGUUUUCUUGCCUAUACUGUUUGUUGCCAUUCUUGUUGUGCAGGUACAAGCUUAGAGGGGACGCACGUGGUGAUACAACGCAGCACGCGUGGGGACGAGCCAAUGAAGUGCUGGGGCGUUGUGCACGUGGGGAGUGGCGGCUGCUGGUCUGUUGCUAGGGUUUCCCGAUCCUUCUUUUUGCUAUUGGUUUUGGGCUACUUGUAAUUGGGCUAAGUUAGUGGGUUUCGCUGCAAUAGGGCUAGAAAUUGGGUCUGGGUUAAAUUUUGGGUCUGGUAUUUUGGAUUGGGUCUAGUGUAAUGGGUAUGGGCUUUAAGCUUUUAAUUUUUUGGUUCGUAAUUAGACAAUACUGGACUAUUAUUUUUUUAUUUUGUUUUGGUUUAAUAUUAUUAAUUGGGCCAGGGCAAUAAUUGGGUAUUACACAAAGCAUAUCAAUAAACAGUGAACCAGAGAACCUGAAUUCAAAAGUCAAACAAGGAUGGAGCUUUGAACCUAUUUUAAGCUCCAACUUUUCAUUUUUAUUGAAAUAUUCAUGUCAGGCGUGUAUUCGGACAUGGAUAUAGAGAUAUGAUCCACUAAAUAUAUGAAAGCACAUGAAAAAAUUGAAUAUAUCCAUGUCGAGCACAUAUUCGUGUGUGACAAUCAUACCCAAGCCAAAAUAACAUAGCUUAAGAAUAACAAGGACGAGUACAAACUACAACCAUUGACAAUGUAAAUUAGGAAAUAAUGACCAAGACUACUUUCAAAACAAUCAAUCAAUUUUGUUUUCCACCAUUGAAGCCUUUAUGUUACCAGAGGAGUUUGACUGACAAACUGAAUUUACAUCCAGUUCUUCAUUUCUCUUAGGAGAAGAUAGUCUAGAACUAGACCAUUCUUCUAAAGCUUUGUAGUGGAGAGAGUUCAUUUUAAUACAAGGCCGCCUUUCUCGUAUGUAUUUUUCAGCAGCUUUCCAGUUUUCCACAACGCCUAAAGCCACUAGUAAUGCACACAUCACAGCAACACUUCGACCAUGACCUAGAAGAAGGACGAAUAAUUAAAAUACGUUCUGACUUCUGUUUGAACUUUCACUUGCAAAGUAAGUUAAGAAUAUCUAAUAUCAGUACGUGAAUCAUAUAAACAAUGAGGCAUUUCAAAUCUCAAAUAUCCUGCAACAACUAUCCUUAAGAUUCAUGGUUGAUUGUGGCUUAGUUUCCCAUUUUAAGUUUGUAGAAAUUAACUCAAAGAAACACUAAAUGCACUAAAAGUUGAGAAUCCAAAUACAUUUAAGCAAAUGCAAGUAUAUAAACAAUGUAAGUGCAAGUUCCACAAAUCUUGCAAAUAGUCAUACUUAAUAAGUUACAAAAUAUCAUGCACAUUUCAACUAUGUUUCUCUGACUCUUCAUUUUAUUUUAAGUAGCCAUGUCUGACACAAUAAAUGAGAAUAAAGCAAGCAAAUUGAGCAGCAAUAAAUGAGAAUAAACAGCGUCGAUUCAGUUUUCAGAACAUACCAUAAGCACAAUGGACGUAAACAGGCUGAUUUCGAGCUCUCUUUCGACAUGCCCACUUCAAAGCUGAUUCUAUCUGGCCUGGCUGAGGUGCCCUUGUGUCCCAAGUAGGAACACAUAAAUAUGAAUGACCCUUGAACUUCUUUAUUCUUGGGAAUUCAGAUGUGCAAUCAAUAAUGGCAGGGUUACCAGGCGGCAAUAAACGAGGUGAAGCAGGCCAACCACCAACAUAUAAACCCUCACAUAUUUGAGAGUAAGGUUCUUCACCACUAAGGAACCUUCUCGCCAUAGAAAAAGCUCUAGCAAAAUACAGAUAUGGGGAGAACAUGAUAGUGGACAAAAUUGGGAAAGUCCCAUCUGGGUUUUUGCCCAAAAGCAUGGGAAGAUCGAUUGAAGGGAGAGAAGCAAUUGAAACAAGCCAUGAAAUCAAUGAUGCAUACAACAAUGGUAUUGCCAACACUGUGAACCCAAAUCUACUGAAGAAGAGAUAUAAUAACAUCCAUGCCGUUGCCUUCGUAGCCAUUAAGACUGAUAAGCCUAAACCCAUCUCUGAUUCACAAUCAGAAAUCAAAAACAAGAAAUUCCCAAAUCAGAAAUCGGAAAUAAUUUGAUAAUUUCACAAAUUUCUUUAUCUUUAGGCUACGAAACUGAAUAUUCCUUUAAUGCUAUUGUGACUGAUAAGUCCAACGCGAAUGCAGGAAACUUCCCUUACCCUUUGCAGCUUUAAAAAUGAAAUUUUGUGCGGGGAAUGGAUGGAUUUUCUAGCUGCCAAUUGGCUUAAUUUAUAAGAGGAAAAAGUUAUGGGUAAACUAUAAAAAUAGUCACUUUUAUUUGACUCAGAUUACAUUUUAAUUAAUUAUAUUUGAAAUGUUACAUUUUAGUCACUUACGUUAUCAUUUUAUUACGAAAUGGUCACUUUACCGUUAAACUUCAUUACCUCCCUAACGGCAGUCCUACGUGGCCGUCCAAGUGGGUUUUAAAUGCCAACUUAGAUAUCUAGUUGCUGGAAUAAAAAUAGGUUUUUAAUUAAAUAAAUUUAAUUUGGACUGUCACGUAGGACCGCUGUUAGAGAGGUAAUGAAGCUUAACAAUAGAGUAACCACUUCGUAAUAAAACAAUAACGUAAGUGAUUAAUACGUAAUAUUUAAAACAUAAGUGACUAAAAUGUAAUAUAAGACAAACAAAAGUGACUACUUUUAUAGUUUACCUUAUUUAUUAUUAAUAUAUUUAAUAUAGUGAUGAAAUUUCAAUGAAAUUAAAAUUAAAAUAGUAUAAUAAAUUAUGGGGUGUUUGGUAAACAUAAUUUUGGAUCUUUUUAAGUUGAUUUGGGCAUAAAUGAAGAAUUGGAUAGUCAAAUCCUCUCAUUGUAAUAUUUGGUGAAUGAAUAUUUUCAAUAGCUUAUUAAGCUAAAACCUCCAAAAUAAAAAACGCUAAAAUGGAUAACUUUUUUUACAACUGAUUGGAAAGGAGAUAUAUGGAAGGACAUAUUUGAUCAUGUUUGCUAAAAAAUUACUCUGUUUGCCACUAUGUACAAUUAUAUUGAUACACUAAUAAUAUUUAUCAAUUUUCAUAAGGUUAAUAUUUACAAAUAAAGAACUUAAGAAAUUUGUUUAUUUAAAAUUUUAAAAAUAUUCACUAAUUAAUUUCGAUAAUGGAUGUUUUAAUUCAUUGGUAAUAGUGUUUUAUUUCAAUAAUUUCACCUAAUAAAAUCUAAAGUAUUAUAAAAUAAAUACUUAAUAAUAAAAUGUGUAAUGUCUUUAUUUAUCAUUUUACACAUAUCAGAUUUCAGCUAUCAGAUAAGUUUUACCAAAUAAUUUUUAAAUGUUAGAAUCAUUUGGUCAAAUCAGUUAGUAAAAUCAGUUGAUCAAACUAGUCAUCACAAUCAACAAUCAACAAUCAAUUAUCAACCAAUUAUCAAACAAGACCUAAGAUGUGGAAUAUUUAAGAUGCGAUAAAAAUAUAUAAAAUAAUUAAAACAUGUGGUUGUCGUAAAAAAUAAUAUAUAAACAUUAUGUGUACGGAAAAUAAUAAUAGUAAUAAUAAUAAUAACGUGAACACCAUAUAAAUGAUUUUUUAUAUAAAUUGAAUCAACAUAAAAAAAUAUAUUAAAUUUGAACUUUUGAAGUCAAUGAAAUUAAAAUUAAAAUACUAUAAUAAAUUAUUUAAAAUAUGAAAUGAUUUAAGAUGUAAUAAAAAUAUAUGAAAUAACUAAAACAUGUGGGUGUCAUAAAAAUAUAUAUUAUAUAUAAUUCAAAAUUUACACAAAAUAAAUUAUUGGUGUCAAUGGUGUGUACGGAAAAUAAAUCAUUGAUAUUGUCAAAAUCAUUUUUAUUUUGGAAAAAAAAAACAAAAAUUAGUUGUUGACUUUAAAAAAACAAAAAUUGGGAGUCGCCACCAAUCUUUUAUUGCGGUGUGAUUGGAUCACCUAAAAAUAGUUUUGGUCUACGAGUUUUAGAAAAACAGAUUUGGGAGUCAAUUACGUACGAGGAAGAAUUAGCACCCUCGUAACGUCCAAAAAUUGGUACCAAAUUGAUUAAUUAACGUCUUAAAGUCGAGAGUUUUAAAAAUGCGAUCCUUAAUUAAGUUAAAUUGUUUAUUAAGACUUUUUCAUUUUGAAAAAAAAAAAAGAAAAAUAUCACACCCAAUGCAUUAGGGCACGACAUUUCGUUCUCUUCAAAAUGAGUUAGUCCAAAAAAACUCGUGUAAUAAAAUUUAAGAAAAUAUCUAAUUGUUUAAAAUUUAUGAAGAAAUCGCAGCCCAAUACGUUAGGGCACAAUUUCCUAAAAUCUCAAACAUUCAAUAUUUCCUUUAUUUUUUUUAAAAAAAAUCUUUGUCUCGAGAAAUCAACGUGUCACAUCCAAUACAUUAGGACACAACCUAUUGAAUUCCCGAUGACAAGUUUUAUUUUGUUUGAUUAAAGAGCAAUCCUCGAUUGUUAGAUUUUACGAAGAAAAUUAGAACCCAAUACGUUAGAGCUCAAUUUUCUUGAAAAUCUUAAAUACAAGUGUAAUACCCGAUUUUUGCCCCGGGUUCAAAUAAUAAACGGGCCCAAAUGAAACUGUCCAAUUACAACAAAACCCAGACCCGAUUAAACUACAGAGGCCCAAAUUAGUGGCCCAAAAUAGUCAGGAACCCUAGGGUUUCUAAGGAUCUCUAUGGCCGCCUCAUACUACUAGUGCCGCAACCACAUCCUCCAUGUGAACGGGAUCUUCGCAAUCUUCACCUGCAAACACAAGAAAGGAAAGAAAAUCAAAUCAAGCAGAUUUCUUUUAUUAUUUCUCUAUUUCAUUCGGUUAUAAAAUACCCAUUGCAAUACUGUAAACGUGAUCCCCGAAUCCGAAAUCAAUAAAGAAACAAGUAUUUUCACAACAAACAGAGAGUAAAUCGGAAUUAAAGGUUGAUAUACAUUUUCGUUUUACUAUUUAUUUUCUUUUUUUAUUGUUUUAUUAUAUACUGAUAUAAAAUGAGAUAAAAGGUAAAGGGACUCACCAUGAUUCGCUUCUGAAACGCUACAAGCGGUUGAGGUAACCGUCUCCGAGGAUAGACGGUCGGAAGCCGAAGAGUUUCUCAAAGUUUAGGGCUUUUCCGGCCAUAUUUCAAAAGAUUUGAACCCAGAUUUGGGGUUUAAAGGGUUAGAAGGGCCAAGAAGGGAUUUUUUCCCCUUUUUCGGCCACCGCAGAUGGCGGUGCCGACGCCGGAGAUCGGCGGCCGGUGACCGGCCGAUGACCAGACCCCUGGCCGGACGAAUGGGAGAGGAGAGUUUUUGGGAAAAGCUUUUUGGUUUUUUUUUAAAAGGGCUUAAAAUGAUUUUUUUGGUGAGUUUGGGAGUUUUUAUAAGGUACCAAAACGGCACCGUUUUGGAGAGUCCCUAGACGCCCAAAACGGUGUCGUUUUGAGUACCCGACCCGGAUCCGACCCGAUCCACCUUAAGAUCCGCGCGUUUUUAUACGGAGGGGUAAAUUGCGCUUUUAGGCCCUCCGCCUUUUAAUAUUUUUAUAAUCAAGUUUUUUUUUAAAUUCACCUUUAGUUUAUUUUUUAAUUUCAAUUUAGUCCCUAUAGAACAAUGCCGUUUUAGAGGAGAAGGGAAAAUUUCCCUUCCAGCCCCUCUAUAUAAUUUGCGCGAUUAAUCUAAUCCUUUGGGCUUUAUUUAUUUACGGAUUUGCCCCAGAUUUUUUAUUGGCAGUUCAAUUUAGUUUUUUAUCUUAAAAUUAAUUAAUUUUAAUAAUGUAAUUAUUUUUUAUUUUUUUAUAUGUAAUUAUUUUUUAUAAUCUAUAUGUAUAUAUUUAUUUUAGUAUAUAUAUGUAUGUAUACAUAUAAAUAUUUUUAACCAAUUUUUAUUUAUUUAUAUAUAUAUAUGAAUAUAUUUAUUUUUUUUAAAAAUGCAAAUGUAUGUUUUUUUUAUACUUUAUAAUUUAUAUUUUUUCCUUUAUUUUCAUAAAUGCAUCUUGUAUGUAUAAGUUUCAUAGCCCAAGAUUUCAUAUGUAAAUUAGGUGUAUGACUUUUAAUUUCAAUGCAUAUAUUAUGUGCCUUUUAUUCUUUAUAUUUUGUUUAUUUUCUUCAUUCAAUUAUUAAUUCAUGUUUUCGUUUAUAUGUUAAAAAGAAUUGUUUUUUUUAUCAUUUAUUUGACAUUUUGUAUGUGAUUAUUUUUAUUAUGUAUAUUGAUUUUAAUUAUUCAUUUAUUUAUAUUAUUUCUAUGCCACUGUAAUAUUUAUUAUUGUAUUGUAUAUUUAAUGUAGCAUUACAUCAUUUUUUUACUCGAUUUUAAACUUUUCAAAAUUGAGAGAAUGCUUGUAUUUAGGAUUUUCAAGGAAAUUGAGCCCUAACGUAUUGGGUUCCGAUUUUCUUCGUUAAAUCUAACAAUCGAGCAUUUCUCUUUAAUAAAAAAAAUAAGAACUCAUUAUUGGGAAUUCAACACGUUGUGUCCUAACGUAUUGGAUGUGACGCAUUGAUUUCUCGAAAUGAAGAUUUUUUCUAAAAAAUAAUAAAGGAAAUAUUCCGAGUUUGGGAUUUUGGAGGAAUUGUGUCCUAACGUAUUGGGCCGCGAUUUCUUAAAUCUUGAAUAAAUGGAUAUUCUUUUAAAUUUUUAUUAUACGAGUAUUUUGGCCUAAUUCAUUUUUGAGGAAAUUAGAAUGUCGUGCCCUAACGCAUUGGGUGUGGCAUUUUCUUUCUCUGAAAUGAUAAGGGUCUUAAUACAUAACGUUUUUUAAGUUUUUGCUAAGGAUUAUAUUUUUCAAAGUUUCGACAUUAAGACAUUAAUUAAUUAACUAGGCACCAAUUUUUGGGCGUAAUGAGGGUGCUAAUCCUUCCUCAUACGUAACCAACUCCCGGACCCGUUUUUCUAAAAUUCGUAGACCAAAGUCGUUUUUAGGUGACCCAAUCACACCUUAAAUAAAAGAUUGGUGGCGACUCCCAAUUUUUCCAAUUUUAAUCGACAUCUAAUUUUUAUUUUUUUCCAAAACAAAAAAAUGGUUUUGACAACGAGUAUUAUCUCUAUUUUGAAAAACUCUAUUUUCAAAUUCGAGUAAAAAGAUGACGUGAUGUUAUAAUAUAUAUAUGCCACAAUAAUAAAUACAACAAUAAUAAUCAAUGGCAUAGAAAUAAUGUAUAUAAAUAAAUAAAUGAAGCUAAUACACAUAAAAAAUGACAUGUAAAGUAUUAAAUAAAUGAGCAAAAUAAUAUAAAUGAAAACACAAAUUAAUAAACAAAUGAAGGAACUAAAUAAAAAUAAAGAAAGAAUAAAAGGUACAUAAUAUAUACAUUAAAUUAUAAAGAAUAAAAGACAUACACAUGGAUUUACAUAUAAAAUUUUGGACUAUAGAAUUUAUAACAAAAUAUAUAAUGUGUUUAUGAAAAUAAAGAAAAAGAUAUAAGUAUAUAUAAAUGAAAAAAAACAUUCGUUAAAAAAUAUAUAUAUACAUAAAUAUAUACACAUACACAUUUAUAGAAAAAUAUAUAAAAAUAAGUUAAAUAAUAAUUACUUUAUAUUAAAAAAUAGGCGUAUAUAUGGAAAUAAAUAUAUACAUAAGUAUACAUAUAUAAAAAAGAAAAGAAAAUAAUUACAUAUGAAAAUAAUAAUUACCUUAUUAAUUAAUGAAAAAAAAAACUAAAUCGAAUUGUAAAACAAGAAUCUGGGGCAAUUUCGCAAAUAAUUGAAGAUCGGAGGACCUUAUUGAACACGCUACUAAUUCAAAAGGGCUGGAAGGGCAAUUUUUCCUUCUCCUCUAAACGACGUCAUUCCAUCAGGACGAAAUCGAAAUUGAAAAUAAAUAAAGGGAUAAAUUUAGAAAAUAAUAAAACACUCAAUUGCAAAAACAUUAAAAAAGGAGGGGCCAAAAGCGCAAUUUGCCCCUCCGUAUAAAACACGCGGAUCCUAAGGCUGGGUCGGGUCGGAUUCGGAUCAACCCGGGCCUUAAACGGUGCCGUUUUGGGAAGGCUAUUUAAGCCAAGAUUUGGUUAAAAAUUUUCAUUUCCUUUCAGUUUUUUAAAAAAAAUUCAAAAAAACCUUCAAAAACAGCUCUCCCCCUUCCCAGACGUCCGGCCUAGGUCCGGCCAUCGGUCAUCGCGCCUGCUGUAGUAUGCGGUGGCCGAAAAAUGAGGAAAUUUCCUAGUUGGCCCUCUCGAUCCUUCCAAGCCCAGAUCUGGGUUCAAACUUUCCAAAAAACCAACAAAAAAACGCGAAGUGAUCCCGAAACCCUUCGGUUUCUGGCCACCAAUCCUCGGGGGUGGUUCCCUCAACCGACCACGGCGGCUCUGACUCGAACGAAGGUAGUUUCUUUCCCUCCCUUUUUUUAUCUUAUAUUAUUCGCUUAUAUAAAUAAAAAAUAAAUAUAACAAAUAAAAAAUAACUAUUGCAAAUAUCAACCUUUUCGAUUGAUUUGCUCUCCGUAUUCAACUCUCGGUUUGCUGUGGAAAUGCCCCCUUUUUAUUGAUUUUUCGAUCCCUUUUUACAGUAUAUUCAUGGCUUUUUUAUAGCCGAAGUAAAACACUAAGUAAAUCUGUUUUAGCGAUUUGAUUCGUAAUUUUUUGAUUCUUUUUUCCAUAUCUGUUUGAUUUCUUUCCUUGUUGUGCAGGUGAAGGCGUGCGGCUCAUGUGGGGUUUGGUUGCGGCGCGAGUUCACCCCUGAAACCCUAGAGUUUCUUGAAUCUAUUUUGGGCCACUGUAUUUGGGCCUUUGUUUUAUAUUGGUUUGGGCUCUUAUUGGCCUGUCUAUAAUUCGGGCAUUUUACCUGGGCCAAAAUAGGGUAUUACAGAUAUCAAUGAUGUGUACGAAUAAUAAUUGUUGACACCAUUUUUUGGAUGAAAACGAGGUCGACUUGGGUUUUGAAAAAUAAAAAUGAAAACGGGAGUCGCCACCGAUCCUUUUUGAUGAGGUGUGAUCGGGUCACCUUGAAAAGUGAUUGCUUUUAAUAAAAGAUUUAAUUUUAUUAAAACAACGGGUUUGGUCCAUGAAAUUCAGAAAAAACGGGUUCGGGAGUCGGUUACGUACGAGGAAGGAUUAGCACCCUCGUAACGCCCAAAAUUGGUACCUAGUUGAUUAGUUAAUGUCUUAAUGUCAAAAAUUGAAAACUUUGAAGAAAUUUAAAAUACGAUCCUUAAAACUCGGAUGACAUGGAUUAAAAUUCAAGAGGAUAUUUGGCUAUUUGGUUAAACGAGAAAUCCAAACCCAACACAUUAGGGCAUGUUCCUCGAAUUUCCGAACGCGAAACAUUGCCUUAUUUUGAAAUUUUGAAAGGAUAUUUGGCUAUUUGGUUGAACGAGAAAAAUCGAAACCCAGCACAUUAGGGCACGUUUCCUCGAAUUUCCAAACGCUAAAUAUUGCCUUAUUUAGAAAAAUCCUCAUCUCGAGAAAACGACAUGUCAUAUCCAAUGCGUUAGGACAUAACGUAUCGAAUUCCCGAUACGAGAAUACAUGCCAAAAAAAUUUACUUAUUUAAAAAGACAUUUAAUUAUCUCGGGUUUAGAAAAGGGAUUAUGCCCAGUAAGUUAGGACACGAUCUUUUCUUAAUUCCCGAGAUCGUUUAAAAACUUGAAUUUGAAAAGAUUCGUGUAUUUAGAUUUAUUACGAAAAUCGAAACCUAGUAAGUUAGGGUACGACUUUCUCAAAUCUAAACACGAAAUUUUGCUUGUUCAAAAAUCAUGAUUCAUCGAAUUAAUCUAACUCGAAAUGGUAGAAAUGAAACUCGAGGUUAAUAUGCGUACAAGAUAAUAUUGAAUAUGAUAGCAUAAAAAAUAAUACAAGCAACAAUGGUAAGAAUGAAUAAAAUAGACAAAUUAAUAACAUGCAAAAUAACAAGUAUAAGCAAAUAAAAUUAAAACAUCCUCUUCAAAGAAUAAUAAAACAUAAAUAAAUAAUAAUAAUAAAUUAACAAAAUUAUAAAAAAUAUAAAGUAUGUAUAUAUAUGUGUAUUAAAAUUAUAAAGUAUAAAAAUAUAUAUACAUGGAUAUGUAUAUAUGUAUAUAUAUGAAAAAAUAUGUAUGUACAUAUAAAGUAUAUAAAAAAUAAGUAAGUAUAUAUAUAUCAAAGAUGUAUACGUAUAGGUAUAUGAUAAUAAUAAUAAUACAAGGUUAAAAGUCAUUUAAACUUAGAUAAAUAAAUAGAAUAGAAAUAUAAUAAUACUAAUAAUAUUAAUACUAAAAUAAUGCUAUAACAAUAUUAAUAAAUAAAAGGGUGAUAAUAAUAUCAAUAAUGAUAACCCCAGAAAUAAGAUUGAUAAUAUGAAAAAUAUGAUAAUACAAACAAGAAUCAUGCCAUCAAACGAUGUUAAUAAACAAUAGAAAUAAUAGUAGUAGCCACAAUAAUGCAAAAUAUAAUAUUAAGAUUAAACCAAAAAGAAAAGAAAUAACGAUAUCAAGUUAAUCGACAUGACGAUAACAAUAGCAGAAAUCUAAAAAAAAGGACUAGAUCGGGGUUCAAGCGAAAUUAAAGGUAAAAAGCCUAAUAAAAUAAAUAAUAAAACGUGAAUAAGGAUUUAAGUGGAAUGCGCAUAAAAGGAUAGGGGACUGAAAGUGAGAUUAUUCUCGAUUUUAAAAUGCAAAACUUUAACAGAGAUUAAAGUGAAGCAAGAAACAAAAUCAUUGGGAAGAUUAAAAAAAGAAUAAAACGAAAUAGGGACCAAAUUGAAGACAUUAAAAAUUAGGAAGGACCAAUUUCGAAAAUAUCCCUUCAAGUGAAAAACACGCGGAUCCUCCUGGUAACAAGUCGGGUCGCGCACGGGUCGCGCAAAACGGUGCCGUUUUGGCACUAAAACCCCCCAGUGAAACGGUGCCGUUUAGAAAAUUCUAUUUAAAUUAAUAAUUUAAAAAAAACUUUGCAACUGCAGAUAGAAAAGAAAAAAGGGCCUCCCAUUUCAUUUUCUCUGUUAGGGUUUUAAAACCCUUUUUAGCCGCCACCGCUAAUGGUGGUCGGAGACGCGCCAUCUUUCAAGCGGAUCCGAAGGCAAAGGUAACCCCUUUUUUUUUAUCUUCUUGUUGAAAGGGAAAUAAAACAAAAUAAAUAAAAAAAAGAAAAAGAAAGAGGAAAGAGGAAAGAUUGAAAUCAAAAACAGGAAAUCACCUUGUUUUUUUUCUGCUUUUUAUUUCUUUUUUUCUUAAUGUUUUCUUUCUUUUUUUUAUAAAAAAUCGGGACUCCCGAUUACAGUGAUGAAGCCCCCCUUUACAUUGUUUUUUUUCGUGGUUUUUAUAGCCACGGUUACUGUUAAUCUAUGCUACAGUCUUCUCCUGCUAUUUUUGCCUUUUUUCUUGCUUCUGUUUCUGUCCUUUUUGCAGGUAAGAUGAAGUCAACGAGAGGAGUCUUUGCCAUUUCGGUGUAAGGUGGUCAGUCCUCGGGUGUUGGGCGCGCUGUGGAGGCACGUGGGCAGCAAAGUGAACGGCGCAUUAGGGUUAGGGUUUCAAAUUUUUUACUGAAACAAGUUAAGGUUUUGGGCCUAUUGGGCCCUGGGUCAUGGGUUUGUAAUUUGGGUUGUAGUUUUGGGCCUGGGCAUAAAUUGGGUCUUACAAUAAUAAUAAUAAUAAUAAUAAUAAUAAUAAUAAUAUGAAUGGUUUUUUUAUAUAAAUCGAAUCAACAUAACAAAUUAUGAAAUAUAUGAGAUAAUUUAAGACAUAACACAAACAGAAAAAUUACUUUUUGAAAUAAUUGAAUUGUUGUGAAAAAUUAUAUAAAAUAUAAUACAAUACGAAUAUAACAUAAAAAUCAUUUAAACACAAACACAAAUAUAAUACAUGUGAAUAGUGGUAGAGCCUGAAAAUUUUUUGGGAGUCGAAAUUAAAUUGUAUAUUUUUAUGAUAGUAAAAAUGCAAUUGAAUUAUUUUAAUAUCCUAUAUAUUUAUAAUUUUCAAAGGGUUAAAUCAAAUUUUUAUCAUUUUUAAGAGUAGAGUAUAAUUUUACCAUUAUUAAUUUAAAAUUUUAUAAAUUAUAAAAACCUAAAUUAAAAUUUUACCAUUUUAGGCCAUGGCCAAUAUGGAAAAUAUGGAGAAAAACAUCAACGCAAAUUAAAUGUAGAAUGAAAAGAAACAUGAUAUAAAAUUAAAAAUUGAAUUGAAUAACUAAAACAAAUAAUAUCACAAAAAAAAUAACAUAAACAUAAUAUAAAUAUAUAAAUAUAUCAAAUUUUACAUAAAAUUAAUUAAAAUGUGCUACAAGUCUUUGUACUUUUUAAAAAUUAAGAAUUUAAUCCUUAUAUUUUUAUUUCAUGGAAGUUAGUCUCUCCACUCUUUAUAUUUUAAAAUUCAGGUGCAAUUGUUAACUUUUUUUGGUUAAAAUAUGUACAAAUAUUACGAUCAACCAAAAUACGUGCAAUACCCUUUUAAGUCACAUGAAACAAGGGCGAAGCCAGAAUAUCGUUUUAGGAGCCGAAAUUAAAUUGUAAUUUUUACGAUAGUAAAAAUGUAAUUUCACCAUUUUAAUAGUUUAUAUAUUUAUAAAUUUUAAAUGAUUAAAUCAAAUUUUUAUCAUAUUUAGAGAGAGCCAAAGUAUAAUUUUACCUUUUAUUAAUUUAAAAUUUUUAAAGAACCUAGAUAAAAAUUUCCCAUCUUACCAAUCCCCUAAUUAAGCCCGAAGCUAUUAACCACAUCUUGAUACCAAUGAAAGUAUUAAAAGAAAACAUUAUUGGAUUACUUUGAAUCAAUUGAGUACAUCAAAUGAGCUAUCUAACUAAUAAAUAAAUUUAAUCUAAUUUAAUGGACACAUUAUUUAUCUAUAAAAGCGAUACAUCUUAAAUCAAAGAGUAAGUUAUGGGAUAAUCAAUAACAAAUGCCACAUUAUUACUAGUUGAAUGUUGCCGUCAUUGUUGGUGUAUUGCUGGUUGGGUCAAUCAUAAGAUCAGUUGAGUAUCCAUAUUUAAUAUUUCUAGCUUUAUACUCAGACACGUUUUGGUCCAAUGAUUCUUUUAUCGAAUGCCAGUCAAUUUCUAAAACGUUAAAUAAUUAAAAAAUUAUAUUUCCUACUUAAUCAAGCAGAUAACUCAAAUGUGAAGUGCAUGUUAAAAAUACAAAACGACCAUUAUUAUUAAUUUUUAUCACAGCCACCCAUGUGUAAUUCAUUUUCUUUUACAAUCAAUUAGUUAUUAUAUUUCCUACUUAAUCAAGCAGAUAACUCAAAUUUAAUUUUUAAUUUUCUUUAAAUUAAUAUUUAUUUUUUAAAACUUAUUAAAAAUAAAAAAAAAUUCCAAAAGUCCCAAGGAUUAUGCAAUUUUUCAAAGGCCGAUAAGUAAAAAUUUAAAGGUUAUAACAUUCUCAAUGUUGACACCAUUUUUUGAUAAAACGGGGUCGACUUGGAUUUUGAAAACGAAAAUGAAAAAGGGAGUCGCCACCAAUCUUUUUUUUGAUGAGGUGUGAUCGGGUCACCUCGAAAAGUGGUUGUUUUUAAUAAGCGAUUUGAUUUUAUUAAAACAACGAUUUAGGUCCACGAAAUUCAAAAAAACGGGUUUGGAAGUCGGUUACGAAUGAGGAAGGAUUAGCACUCUCGUAACACCCAAAAAUUGGUACCUAGUUAAUUAAUUAAUGUCUUAAUGUCGAAAAUUGAAAACUAUGAAGAGAUUUAAAAUACGAUCUUUUGUAUAUAAAAAAAACUUAUAUAAAACAAGUUACCAAUUAAGACCCCCUCAUUUUGAAGAGAGAAAAUGUCACACCCAAUGAGUUAGGGCAUGACAUUUCACAUUCUCAAAAAUGAGAUUGUCCUUUCAAAAACUCAUGCAAUAAAAUUUAAAAGGAUAUUCAAUUGUUUAAGUCAGAUGAAAAAAAUCGAAGCCCAAUACGUUAGGGCCCAAUUUCUCAAAAUUCCAAACAUUGAAUAUUGCCUUUUAUUAUUUUUUUAAAAAAUCUUCAUCUUGAGAAAACAACAUGUCAUAUCCAAUGCAUUAAGACACGACGUAUUGAAUUCCCGAGAAUAAACUCUUUAUUUAUAUGUUUUGAUUAAAAAUAUUCUCGAUUAUUUUGAUUUAACGAAAAAAAUUAGAACCGAAUACAUUAGGGCUCAAUCCUCUCGAAGAUCCCAAAUACCGAGUAUUGAAAAUAAUUCCCAAAACUUAAACCAUAUUAAAUAUAAUUUUUUGAGCGAAUAAAGCAUGAUGGAAGUAAAAGACGAAAAUAAAUUACGUUACUAAUAUGCAUAACAUAAUUUAAAACUAAAGAUCUAAAUUUAAAUUAAUAUGGUAUAAAACAAUCUAAGAAUCAUAUUUUUUAAAAAAAAUGAUAAUGAUAACAAUAAUAACUUCCUAAGAAUAUAUAUAUACUUAGAUAGAUAAACAACAACAAAAAUAAAAAAUAAUACAAAAAUAAUUAAUAUAAUAAUAAUCAUAAGUAAAUAAACAUGAAAAGAAAAAAAACAUAAAAAUAAGAAAAAUAAAUAAAAAUAUAUGUAUAUAAUAAUGGCAAUAAUAAUAUUAAUAGUAUUAAUAAUAAGAAAAAAAAUAAAAUAAGAAAAAUAGUAAUAACAUUAAUAAUAAUUCUAAUAACAAUGUUAAAAAUAGCAAUAAUAAUAAUAAUAAUAAUAAAAGUAACAAUAACAGGACUAAAUUGAAAAUAAAACACAAUCUCAAGGGAGAAAUCGAAAAUAAAAUAAGGCAAAAGACCAAAUUACACUAUACGAAUGAAACGGGGGGACUGAAAUAGUAAAUAUCCUGCCCCCCCCCAAAACGCAUCACUCUGCGCGGGACUAAAAUGAAACUGAUAUAAAAUUAUGCGGCCAAAUUAAAAUAACAGAAAAAAAAGAGAAAGGACCAAAUUGCGACACGUCACAAAAGCGGAAGGACCGCACGAGCAAAUAUCCCAUUAGGAAGAAAACACUCGGAUCUGCUCACCGGGCCGGGUCGACACGCAGGUAAGAGUUCAAACGACGCCGUUUUGGCCAUUGAUGGUAAGGUCCAAAACGACGCCGUUUUACACCUUAUAUAAAUACCAAAAAAACAACCAAAAAAAAGCAUUUCCCCCUUUCAUUUCUCAAAAAAAAAAGAUUUCUCUCGGCCUUCCUCUCCAGAUCUGGUCAUCGCCACCACUGUAGGGCCGCCGUGGCCGGUGGCCGGCGUUUGCUUAAAAGGGGAUUUUUAGCCCUCGUUUUCAACGAUCUGAAGGCCAAGCCUUCUCAACCAAAAAAAAAAAGAAAGAAAUGAGCCCUCACCCCACCUCUUAAGGUCGAUUUCGACGACGGGGAGACGACCUCCGACGACGCGGCCGAGGGACGUUCCAGAUGAGCUUUUCUUCAUUUUUUUUUUGGUUAUUUAGUAUGCGAAAACAAAAACAAAACAAAAUAAAAAGGAAUCAAACAAGAAAAGAAAAAAAAAAGAAAUUUCACCUCUGAAAUUGAUUUUCUGUUUUCUGUUUUUUUAUUAAUGUUUGUCCAAAAAAAAGAGAGCAUUACAGAGAUGAUACUCGGCUUUUAUAGCCAUUUUUACAUGAAUUUUUUAAUCUAUUUUGUGUGCUUGUCACUUCUGCCUUGAUUUUUUGUAGGUGUCGAUGCAAGUGGAUAGGCGGUGACAUGACCGUGGCGGUGGCAGACGCGCGGUGGUGGCGGCUGGUAGGCCAAGGGUCAGAAGACCCAAGGUGCGGCGCACCUAGGGUUUGACUUGUUCUCCUUCUUUUUUUUUCUGAUUUGAUGCUUUGGGCUGAUGUUUUAGGCUAUUAGGGUUUGGGUAGUUGGGCUUACCGCACCUAGGGUUUGACUUGUUCUCUUUCUUUUUUUUUUCUGAUUUGAUGCUUUGGGCUGAUGUUUUAGGCUAUUAGGGUUUGGGUAGUUGGGCUUGUACUUAGGCUUGGGGUAUUUGGUUUGUUGGGUUUGCUGAUUUGUAGAUUGGACUGGACUUUAAUUUAUUUUGGUUUUAUUUGUUCUUUGGUUUAAUUGGGCCCGGGAAAAAUGGGCUUGUACACUCAAAAUUCUUGUACUCUUUAUAUAUUUAGAAUUUGUGAUAAUAGAAUGUUGAUAAUGGUAAUGUAACAUCUCAGAAUUUGGGGUUAGAAGUUUUAAGGAUUGUGGUUAGGGUUAGUGAGCAAGUUGAUCAAUUGAGUUUGCUUUCGUGUUUUAAUGUUAGAAUUGGUUUGUUAGUUCGGUGGUUGGAUGUGUGUUAAUUUACUUUUGGGUUCUGGCUUCAAAUCCUCAUGUGUAUUUUGAGGAAGUAAUUUUAUUUUUUAGGUUUGUUCUUAAGUUUUAAAAUAUUUAUUUAUUCUUAUUUUUAUUUUAUUUUUUUGAAAGAGGGCAAAAAUCAUUCUCACGUUCUCUUCUCCCUUUCUGGCAAUUUAUGUUCUUUUUGUUUUCCUCCUCCUUUGUCCUUUUCGUUUUUGGUUGUUCUUUUAAACCAUUGAACUUUUGUUUCUUCUUGCUUCUUCUGUUUCUGCAUAUUUUGUUAUUGUUUGUUGGUCAAGGGGUUGUUUGUCCUCGUGUUUCCAACUGAUUGGAUUUUGAAUCGGGUAAGAUUUAGUGUGGGUUAAUGGUUUUUCUUGAGCUAUAGGUUAACGUUUAGUUGAUUCGUCUCUAUCGAUUUGGAUUAGUUGUAAAUUAGCAUGUUGGUUUCUAGUUUUCAGAAUUGGUGGAAUUGCGGCAUUUUCGGUCGAUCGUUGGUGUGUCAAAGAACGUUAAUAAGGUGUUUUUCUAAACCCUUAGUAAUUAGAGAUUAUGUUACGGAUGCUAAUUUACGAUUCUUGGUCUGUUUUGGUGUGGUUUCGUGGCCAAACGGGCAUGUGCUGCACACGGGUGGCCACACGGGUGUGUGCCACACACAGGUGGCCAGACGAGCGUGUGCCGCACACAGGCAGUUCACACAGCUGUGUGAUAUUGGGAAUUAAGGUUUCUAGGCGAUUUUUGGUGCCACACGGCUGUGUGGCUACGAUUAUGGGAUUUUGUCGAAUUUCUCACGGGUGUGUGUUUUGGACACACGGUCGUGCCCCUUAGCCACAUGGGCGUGUGAGACUUCUACACGAUUGUGUCUGCUCUGCACCUUAUUUUGACAAUUUUGGACAGUGAGUUACAUAGGCUAUUCGAACGGCCAUGUAACUCAGUCACACGAGCGUGUACCUCCUCCACACGGGGGUGUGCAGCUUGUACAUGGGUGUGUAAACCCCCACAUGGGCGUGUAGACCUCCACACGGCCUAGGCACUACCACAGGGCUGGGGCACAAGACCGUGUGGCCCUGUUUCGCAGAUUUUUGUUCCGUGUCGUAUUUUGACUCGUUUUGUGUUUCUAUGUGUUCCAGCCAUCAGUUAGGCUUUGGUAAUGGUUUUUGGACUCUAUUUUUAGCUAGGACUCGUGCAUUUAUCCAUAACUAUUGAAUUGAGUUAACGGUUUGAUUAAAUGUUAAAGUGAAGUGUAAAUGGGAUUUGAAAUGUUACCUAGUAAUUGAAUACGGGUAUAACUGAUUCUGAAUCUGAUUGAUCGAGUAUGUGCAUUUCUGUUUCUGUAUGAUUGGUUGCAUGUAGUGUGCAUUUUGCAUUUGCAUGAAAACUUUGAAAGUGACCAACUGAAUAUGAGUUUUCGUAUUUGUGAGACUGUAGUGUCUGAUGAGCAUUCAUAAACUUGCAUAAAAUCGGGGUUUUUGGUUGCGAAGAGAAAGGAGUCUGAUUCGACAGUCCAACUGCAAUAUUUUUGUACUGCUGUUUAUCGCAUAAUUCUAUACAUAUGUCAGCUUUGCUGCAUAUCGUUACUUGAGUGGCUUAGUUCCACAAUAUGUGGUAUGUAAGGUGGAUGGCCUAUCAUAGUCCUAUGUGGUGUGCAGGGUGGACGGGCUUGAUAUAGCUCAUACGUGGUGUACAGGGUGGUUAAAGUGGUGUUUAGAUGGUUGGGGCAGGUUUUUAAUCUGUUGCAUUCAUGUCACAUUCAGUUAUAAGUUUAUCUGUUUGACGGUUGGGUUUAUUGCGAAAUAAUGUGAAUAGUCUAACGUGUUAAUUACACCAUUAUGAUAUGUUUGUAUGUUUAUGGAAAUUAUCCGUAAGAUUGAGUACUGAUACUUGUUGCUCAUUCAUUGUCUGUGUGUACAUACCAAAUAUACGUUUGAUACUCUGUCAGUUGUUUUUGUUUGUGAAUUCAGACUCACGCUGAGCUCGUGUAGCUCACCCAUUAGUUUCCUCUCUUUCAGGUAAAUUCUGUGUUUGAAGUUGGACUCGACAGCUAGAGGUCACAGAAAGGUUGAUUGAUUUGGUUUAGCUAAAAUUUUCAUAAGAUUUAUAUGGUUGGUUUUAAGAAUUAUUGUAAAGCGAUUAUAAACUGUGGUUUGGGUUAAGGUUUGAACUUUUCGUUAGACUACACGAUUUUGGUUUUAAACAACAUUCGGAAGUUUCAUGUGCGGGUUUUAGUGGGGUUUCUGACUGUUUCAAAGUUCGCUCACGUUUUAGAAAACAAUAUAUUUUUCACACAAUUUUUAAUCUGAUAUUUCGCAAUACUUUUGGCAAAUUUGAUGCAUUUUGAAACUAUACAAUAAUUACCGUUUUAAAACGUAAAUUGUUAAAUAACUUAGUUCAACUUUAGCAAAUUGUGUUCGAAAUGAGAUUUAAACAAUUCUUUUUGUAAAUUGCUUUUAGAUCGCUUCGGUGGUCAAUGUAACCUCUAGGAUUUGGUCCAAACUUCUAGGCUGGGUUUUGGGAUGUUACAGGCAAUGUAUCACAAAGAAAAAAAAUAGAACAUGUAGAUUUUACGUGGAAAUCAUUUCGAGAAAAAAAACUACGGGCAAAAGAGAAGAAAAUUUACUAUGUUGAAUUCAAAAAAUACAAGAGGAGAGACGACUACAUCUAUUUAUAGUUUUGUAAAACCAUAUUCUAAUCAAAGCCAAACAGAAGUAAUGCAGUAAGGUUAAAACACCUUAUUCUAAUCAACAUCAAAUAGAGGUAGUAUACUUCUAUACAAAAUUCAGUUGUGCAGCCUGUACCAUGUCGAGGCCUUCACCCUCGUAGAUCUCCCUAUCUUGUUACUUGUAUUUUAUUUUAACAAUAAUUUGAGUCACAUAUCUUUAAUAAUUUAAUCUUUAUAUUUAUAUUUUUAGGAAUUUAAUCCCUUAUUAUUUUUCAAAAAUUUAAAAUUUAGGUCAAUUUGUUAAUACUGUUAAAAUCCUUAUGUUAAAUUUGCUAGUGUGACGUUUUGAAAUUUUAAAAAAAAAUCAUUUGGUAUCCAUGUAAUGAAAAAAUAAUAUUAUAAUGGACUUAAAUUUAAUAGAGAAUUUAAUGGUGUUAACUAUUCUUAAAAAAACACCUCAGCAUUUUAAUCAGAAAAAAAAAUUUAGACUAACUAAUUUGAGCGAAAUAUAUGGAUCAAAAUUAAAAUUUAACCAUGCUUGUAUAAUUUUAAAAAAGUAGAUGGAUUAGACCUGAAAUUCAUUAUUUUCUCAUGUCAAGAGAAAAGAAAAGAAAAAGAAUGAACAGAUGUCUAAAUUAUGUCAAAAUUAAAGUAUAGAAUUUAAAUAUUAAAUUUGAACGAAAUAUAAAGAUUGAAAUUGAAAUUUAACCAUACUUAUAUAAUUAUAAAAAAAGUAGAGAGGUUAGAACUGAAAUUUAACCAUUACUUUUAGUGUGAAAAAAAUAAUCCACAUAUGUCUUUUAAGCAUACACAUGUUAAAUUUUGUUAUUAAAUCCUGUACUUUAUAAAAUUUUUGGAUUUAGCCCUUAUACUUUAAUUUGAUCAUUUUUAGUCUUUGUACUUUUUGAAUUGGUCAAUUUUAUUCUUUAUACAUUUUGAAGUUUGAAAUUUUAAAUUUAAUUCAAUUUAGUCCUUAUUAUCUGAAAUUAUCAAUAAGCUUUAGAAUUUAGUCCUUUUUCAUAUCUAAGCUUAAAAUCUCUCAAUUUAACACCUAAAGCUUUCAGUUCUCAGUAAUGGCAUCUUUCAAAAUUUUAAAAAUUUCACAAAUUGGUACAUGAGCUAGCUAAAUCAAGCUCCCAUGACCUUAAAUCUAUAAAAAUUACAAGAAACUAAUUAGGGACUUACUUGAAUUUUGAAGUUAAAAGAGCUUGGACCUACGAAAAUGACUUCUUCUUCUUGUUUCUAUCUUAGGUUCGGUUGGGGAAGAAGAGUUUCUCUUUCUCCCCACCAAAUUUCACACACAUAUAUAUAAUUAACUUAGGUAAUUAGGUAAUUAAUCUUAAAUUAAUAUAUAACACUUAGUUUAAUGAUAAUAUGCUUACGCCGUCCACUACCUAAUGUUUAAACAUGGUAUAUUUUUCUAUUUUCAACCUUGAGGUAAUUGCAAUUUAAGUCCUCAAUUCAUUUCCUAAUUAAAAAUCUAUAGCGAUUAGACUUUUGUAAUUUAGUCCCUUGACCUUAAUUAAACACAAUUUCAACUAAAUUACUUAUCCAAAUUUCAAUUCACCUAUAUAAAAAUAUUUACGAGCUCGGUUUACGGAAACAAAAUCCCAAAACCAUCUUUUCUGACAUCAUUGAACAUUGAACCAUUACAUUAGCAGCUUUUAAAAAGGCUUGAAAUACAUCAACUUCCAAUACAUUUAAAAGAUAUGGAUGAGGAUAAAGUUUUCUUUGAAUCAAUCUCUUUUCUCAUUCAGUCAAGAAAAAAAUAAAUCAUCCAUCAACAAUAAAGUUAAUCUAAGCAAAAGCUAGAACCAAAAUUAUCCAAGUAAAAAAUGUCAACAAACUCACUACAUUUAACUUUCCCAACACAUUGUUUUAAGUGCUAUCUUGUUGUUCCAAGUCUUAAGGUGGGUUUGGAUGGGCGAUUGGGUGCGGUGCGGUGCGUUUAGCUUAUUUUUUGUCUCACGCUAUAGUAUCUAAUCUCAUCGCCACCGCUGUUUUUACACUAAACGCAAGUAAACGCACCGCCCAUCCAAACUCACCCUUAUUCAAACAAAGAACGUAACAUGUUGUCCAAAGUCUUGUCCUAUCUUGCUAUCCCAAGUGUUAUUUGAACAAAGAAUCAAACAAUGGCAUCCCAUAUAGUUAACCAACAUAAAAAUAUAUGUUAAAUAAUAUUUGAUUUAAAUAAUUAAUGAUUCUUUAAAAAAAAAAAGAAUGGUAGUUCUUUUCUAAUUUAAUAAAAUAAUUCCUGAAGAGAUAAUUUUUUGUCAAGUAUUGUUUUAGAUAUUUUUAUAUAUUUAAAUAUUAAUUACUAAUUUAUGUAAAUGGUUUUUAGAUCCUUUUGUUACUGAAUUAAUAAAAUGAGCAGAAUGGAAGGGAGGGUUGUUCUGGCAAAAUCAGUGCUUGCUUCCCUUCCUACGAACACUAUACAAACGACACUACUCUCGACGAUAAGCUUCGUGGGGGGUUUUGUAUGGGAUUCGACUUUACAAUCUAAUUGAAUUCAUCUUAUGUUCACCAACCAAUGCAGGUGGAAUGGUAUUUCGUGCAAUGAGGGACUGGAAUCUUAUCCUAUUAGCUAAAUUAGGAUAGAGAUUAAUGGUCAAAGCGGAUGCACUAUGGCCGAGGGUUGUUCAUGCGAAGUAUCUUUCAUCUGGGAACUUUUUGGAGGCUAUUAAACCACUAAACUGUUCGCAUACAUGGAGAAGUAUGUUGGCUGGUAUAGAGGUGCUUAACAAGUGUCUUCGGUGCCGAAUAGGUAAUGGAUCUAUAGUGUGGUUUUAAAAAAGUGGUUUGUUAAUUUUUAGUGCACUUUUGACCUCACAAGUCAGAUGUUUUUCAUUGCUUCUGCGGUGAAAAGCACUUUUAGAACCCCAAACUUGAUGAAGAAUGAGUUUUAAGUCGACCUCUAGAUUGUAUUUUGGAAGGGAUCAUAAGUCUUCUCCUGUUGCCGGUGGCAAAUAUGGCAGGCAUGGAGAGAGAGAAUUUUGUCAAAUGAGAAUCGCAAGAAGAGAUUGAUCAAAGAAGGUUAUGGCCAUAUUGGAGACAGUACUUCGCAUAUAUUGAGGGGCUGUUAGGCAGCAAAGGAACUUUGGUUGCAGUUUUUAGGAAGAGGUCAUGAUUCUGGAUUUUUCUUUUUUGCCAACCGCUGAAUGGUGGGUUGUAUGAUGGGAGACUGGUGUUGGACUGUUGUUUGAAUUGCAAAGGGAUGUGUGUUUGUCUUCAACAUUCCUACAAGACUGCAAUGGAAAGGAUUAUGGAAAAUCCGAGCUUCAUGGAAAUCUUUUAAGUAGAUGAACAUCAUGUACAUAUCUCUAAAAAUAUAUAUGAUACAUGACCCAAAAUCAAGAUUUAUUUGAAUAAUAUUACGAAUAUAAUAUAAGAAAAAAUAAUUAAAAUAUAACAUGAAUACACGAACAUGUCAAAAUCUAUAUAAAAUAUUAUUAACCUAUCAAGUUUUAUAAAAAUAUACAAUAGCUUAAAUAAAAUUAAGACAUUAAAACCAAACAUAAGCAUCACGUAAAUACACAAAUUUUCUUUUUUAUCUAGAAGUACAUGUGUUCAACUUCAACCCCUAUAUCUUCAUAUGAACUUUUAAGAAUCUUCUGAAUACAUAAAAGACCUAAAAUAAAAUUAAACCUUACUCAUGUCUAAAUAAAACCAGUUUCUAACAAUCACACCCAUGUCUGAACAACCAAAUAUUACACAAGGGGUUAAAGAGGAUUACCAAAUAUCUUGUUUGAUGAAGAGCCAAUAUAACUGAAACCAAGAAUUACAUCAAACAGAGACUUCCAACGCAUAUCAAUAAACAGUGAACCAGAGAACCUGACUUCAAAAGUCAAACAAGGAUGAAGCUUUGAACCUAUUUUAAGCUCCAACUUUUCAUUUUUAUUGAAAUAUUCAUGUCAGGCGUGUAUUCGGACAUGAAUAUAGAGAUAUGAUCCUCUAAAUAUAUGAAAGCACAUGAAAAAAUUGAAUAUAUCCAUGUCGAGCACAUAUUCGUGUGUGACAAUCAUACCCAAGCCAAAAUAACGUAACUUAAGAAUAUCAUAUCAUUACUACAUACCAUAUCCAUGGGAGCUUUAAGCAGCACAUAACAAGGACGAGUACAAACUACAACCAUUGACAAUGUAAAUUAGGAAAUAAUGACCAAGACUACUUUAAAAAAAAUCAAUCAAUUUUGUUUUCCACCAUUGAAGCCUUUGUGUUACCAGAGGAGUUUGACUGACUAACUGAAUUUACAUCCAGUUCUUCAUUUCUCUUAGGAGAUGAUAGUCUAGAACUAGACCAUUCUUCUAAAGCUUUGUAGUGGAGAGAGUUCAUUUUAAUACAAGGCCGCCUUUCUCGUAUGUAUUUUUCAGCGGCUUUCCAGUUUUCCACAACGCCUAAAGCCACCAGUAAUGCACACAUCACAGCAACACUUCGACCAUGGCCUAGAAGAAGGACGAAUAAUUAAAAUACGUUCUGACUUCUGUAUGAACUUUCACUUGCAAAGUAAGUUAAGAAUAUCUAAUAUCAGUACGUGGAUCAUAUAAACAAUGAGGCAUUUCAAAUCUCAAAUAUCCUGCAACAACUAUACUUAAGAUUCAUGGUUGAUUGUGGCUUAGUUUCCCAUUUUAAGUUUGUAGAAAUUAACUCAAAGAAACACUAAAUGCACUAAAAGUUGAGAAUCCAAAUACAUUUAAGCAAAUGCAAGUAUAUAAACAAUAAAAGUGCAAGUCCCACGAAUCUUGCAAAUAGUCUUACUUAAUAAGUUACAAAAUAUCAUGCACAUUUCAACUAUGUUUCUCUGACUCUUCAGUUUAUUUGAAGUAGCCAUGUCUGACACAAAUAUGGACAUCGGUAUAGAGAUAUGACCCUCCAAGAAUCCUCUAAGAACAUGAAAAAACUUUUUUUAAAAAUGAAUAUAUUCUAUCAGAUGCAUACUCAUAUGUGAUACACUAACUAAAACCAAGUAACAUUGGAGCAUUUCAAAUUAAUAAAAUCCUCACUAAAGAUGCGCAUUUAUUUCUCUAAUGCAAGAAAAUUCACAAUGCCUUCCUUUUUUCUUUUUCUUUCUUUUGGAAAUACUCAUGUCCUACACAUUUUCACACACAGGUAUUUGAUAUGGCUCUCCAAAGACUUUCAAAAUACAUGGAAAAACUUGGAAAAAAUAGACCAUACCCUUGCAGGACACAUGCUUGUACCCAACACUCACACUCAAGUCCAAGCAUCAUAGAGUUAAUGGAAAUAGUAGAGGCACCUCAAAAUGAAAUCAAUUUAUAUAUCGGCGGGAAAAAGAAAAAAGGGAAAAAGGGAAUGAAUUAGAAGACGACAGCUGCUGGUUGGGAUCAAUUUUUAUAAGUGGCUAUGGAGAAAGUUCUAACAUGACCUAAUUCACAAUCCCACUAUUGAAUCACUUUUAAAUGAUAAUCGGAUUAUACCUUCAUGUUUCAGCUACUAAAGACUCGGGACUAAUCUCUACACAUCUAUUCAAAUUGGAAAGGUUGAGAUAAACUUGUUUUACCUCCGGCUAAGCCUAAUUUGUUGUAUGGAAAAUGUUUGUCCUUGAAUAUAUACACUAAGAGGUAGAGCCAAAAAAAGUCGUUGAACUCUAUCCUAAAAUGCAUUCAAGCCCUCCAGCUUUCAGCACAUUCAACCAAGAAUAUAAACUUGUUUAAUGCAAUCAGCCCAUCAUAUAUGAGGAAUAGUGUAUUAACUAGCUAAACUGGUACAAUACCAUAAUAAAAGAAGUUUAACAGGAUUAAAUACAUCCAAGUGAACAACAAAUUUUACUAAACAAAAUGAAUUGGUGGUAGUAGGCCUCCUGAAGCUGAAUUGAUGAUUGAGCAGGUUAAAUCUAUCAUAAAAGCAGUGAAUAGAAAACCAGACUGGACCAGCGAGUCAAACCAAUUGAACCAGGAUCCAGUAGCCUCUUCAGUUUGGAUACUGCAAACCAUACUCACCAACAUGAACACACAAAGCAAGCACUUGAAACAUAAAUCAAGAUCAGUAUUUAAGCUAGCAAGCAAAAAUAAUAAUAAGACUUUACUUACUAGUAAUAAUAAUGUCAUCAUAGGUAAAAGCUUAAGCUUUAAUACAAGUAUGCGACUACAUUUAACCAUACUCACCUAGAUGAGCAUACAAUGCAAGCAUAAGAAGCAUAAAUCAAGACGCCAUAUUUAAACUAGUAAUAAAAAAUAAUAAUACUACUCCACUUACCAGUAAUAUCAAUGUUACCAUAGGUAAAAGCCUAAGCUUUAAUACUAGUAUGCAACCACAUCGAACCAUACUCACCUAGACGAACAUGCAUUUUUUUAAAAUGGAAAACAAUAAUUAUAGUCCACUUACUAGUAAUAAGAAAACGAAACUCCAUGUUAAAGCAAGCAAAUUGAGCAGCAAUAAAUGAGAAUAAACUGUGUCGAUUCAGUUUUCAGAACAUACCAUAAGCACAAUGGACGUAAACAGGCUGAUUUCGAGCUCUCUUUCGACAUGCCCACUUCACAGCUGAUUCUAUCUGGCCUGGCUGAGGUGCCCUUGUGUCCCAAGUAGGAACACAUAAAUAUGAAUGACCCUUGAACUCCUUUAUUCUUGGGAAUUCAGAUGUGCAAUCAAUAAUGGCAGGGUUACCAGGCGGCAAUAAACGAGGUGAAGCAGGCCAACCACCAACAUAUAAAC